UGAAUCAAGAGUGACAUGUAUGAAAGAAUUGUGAAUGGUGGCUUUGCCACAAAUACGAUGUCAACUACAUGAUCAUGCAAAGCAAUAUGACAAUGGUGGAGCAUGUCAUAAUAAACGGAACAGUGGAAAGUUGCAUGGCAAUAUAUCUCGGAAUGGCUAUGGAAGUGCCAUAAUAGGUAGGUAUGGUGGCUGUUUUGAGGAAGGUAUAUGGUGGGUGUAUGAUACCGACGAAAGUUGCGCGGCACAAGAGAGGGUAGCAAUGGUGGAAGGGUGAGAGUGCGUAUAAUACAUGGACUCAACAUUAGUCAUGAAAAACUCACAUACUUAUUGCAAAAAUCUACAAGUUAUCAAAACAAAGUACUACAUGCAUGCUCCUGGGGGAAGGGUUGGUAGGAGUUAACCAUCGCGCGAUCCCGACCUCCACACAUAAGGAAGACAAUCAAUAAAUAAAUCAUGCUCCAACUUCAUCACAUAACAGUUCACCACACGUGCAUGCUAUGGGAAUCAUAAACUUUUAACACAGGUAUUCCUAAAAUUCACAACUACUGAACUAGCAUGACUCUAAUAUUACCAUCCUCAUAUCUCAAAACAAUCAUCAAGUAUCAAACUUCUCAUAGUAUUCAAUGCACUUUAUAUGAUAGUUUUUAUUAUACCUAUCUUGGAUGCUCAUCAUUUUAGGACUAAAAUUUUAACCAAAGCAAUUACCAUGCUGUUCUAAAAGACUCUCAAAAUAAUAUAAGUGAAGCAUGAGAGAUCAAUAAUUUCUAUAAAAUAAAACCACCAUUGUGCUCUAAAAAGGUAUAAGUGAAGCACUAGAGCAAAAUUAUCUAGCUCAAAAGAUAUAAGUGAAGCACAUAGAGUAUUCUAAUAAAUUUCGAUUCAUGUGUGUCUCUCCCAAAAAGUGUGUACAGCAAGGAUGAUUGUGGUAAACUAAAAAGCAAAGACUCAAAUCAUACAAGACGCUCCAAGCAAAACACAUAUCAUGUGGUGAAUAAAAAUAUAGCAUCAAGUAAAGUUACCGAUGGACGAAGACGAAAGAGGGGAUGCCUUCCGGGGCAUACCCAAGCUUAGGCUUUUUGUUGUCCUUGAAUUUUACCUUGGGGUGCCUUAGGCAUCCCCAAGAUUAGGCUCUUGCCACUCCUUAUUCCAUAAUCCAUCAAAUCUUUACCCAAAAACUUGAAAACUUCACAACACAAAACUCAACAGAAAAUCUCAUGAGCUCCAUUAGCAAAAUAAAACAAACCACCACUUUAAUAUACUGUAAUUAACUCAUUAUUUAUUUAUAUUGGUGUUAAACCUACUGUAUUCCAACUUCUCUAUGGUUCAUACCCCCGGAUAUUAGCCAUAGAUUCAUCAAAAUAAGCAAACAACACACGAAAAACAGAAUCUGUCAAAAACAGAAUAGUCUGUAGCAAUCUGUAACUUUCGAAUCCUUAUGGAACCCUAAAACUUAUACCAAAAUAGGAAGUCCUAGAAAAUUUAUCUAUUAAUAUUAUGCAAAAAUAAUUAACUUAAAAUCACGUUUCUGUGAUUUAUGAAAAUUAUUCUCGUGCGCACAAAAGUUUCUGUUUUACAGCAAGAUCAAAUUAACUAUCACCGAAGAUGAUCCUAUAGGUUUUACUUGGCACAAACACUAAUUAAAACAUAAAACCACAUCUAACCAGAGGCUAGAAGAAUUAUUUAUUACUAAACAGUAACAAAAAUCUAAGAACAAAAAUAAAAUUGGGUUGCCUCCCAACAAGCGCUAUCGUUUAACGCCCCUAGCUAGGCAUAAAAGCAAGAAUAGAUCUAACUAUUGCCAUCUUUGGUAUUCAAUUCAUAGGUGGCUCUCAUAAUAGAUUCAUAAGGUAAUUUUUAUUUUAUUUCUAGGAAAGUGUUCCAUGCCUUUCCUUAAUGUAAAUUGGAGUCUAAUAUUUCCUUCUUUCAUAUAAAUAAUUGCACCAAUCGUUCUAAGGAAAGGCCUACCGAGAAUAAUAGGACAUGAAAGAUUGCAAUCUAUAUAAAGAACAAUAAAAUCUACAGGCACAUAAUUACUAUUUGCAACAAUAAUAACAUCAUUAAUCCUUCCCAUAGGUUUCUUAAUGGUGGAAUUCGCAAGGUGCAAGUUUAAAGAGAAAUCAUCGAAUUCACGGAAACCUAACACAUCACACAAAGUUUUUGGAAUCGUGGACACACUAGCACCCAAAUCACACAAAGCAUAGCAUUCAUGAUCUUUAAUUUUAAUUUUAAUAGUAGGUUCCCACUCAUGAUAAAGUUUUCUAGGGAUAUAAACUUCUAAUUCAAGUUUUUCUUCAUAAGAUUGCAUUAAAGCAUCAACGAUAUGUUUAGUAAAAGCUUUAUUUUGACUAUAAGCAUGAGCAGAAUUUAACACGGAUUGCAACAAGGAAAUACAACAAUUAUCAUAAUUAAAUUCCUUGAAAUCCAAAAUAGUGGGUUCAUUUCUAUGUAAAGUUUUGACCUCUUCAAUCCCACUUUUACCAAUUUUUGCAUCAAGAUCUAAAAACUCUGAAUCAUUGGGAUGCCUCUUAACUAAAGUUGACUCGUCUCCAGUCCCAUCAUUAUCAAGAUUCAUAUUGCAAAGCAAAGAUUUAAUAGGAGACACAUCAAUCACUUUUAAAUCUUCAUCCCUAUUAUCAUGAAAACUACCUAUUAUCAUGAAAACUAGAAGAACACGCUUUUACAAAGCAAUCUAUCUUAGCACGCAUCGUAGCGGUUCUUUCCUUGCACUCAUCAAUGGAAAUUCUCAUAGAUUUGAGAGACUCAUUGAUAUCAUGCUUAGGUGGAAUAGAUCUAAGUUUCAAAGAAUCAACAUCAAGAGAAAUUAUAUCCACGUUCCUAGCCAAUUCAUCAAUCUUAGGCAAUUUUUCUUCAAGCAAACCAUUGAAAUUCUUCUGAGAAAUCAUAAACUCUUUAACACUAAUCUCAAAAUCAGAGGGCAUCUUAUUAAAAUUUCUAUAAGAGUUGUUGUAGGAAUUACCAUAAUUAUUAGAGGAAUUACUAGGAAACGGCCUAGGAUUAAAGUUUCCUCUAUACGCGCCGUUACCAAAAUUAUUCCUACCAACAAAAUUCACAUCCAUAGAUUCGUUAUUAUUCUCAAUCAAAGUAGACAAAGGCAUAUCAUUAGGAUCAAUAGGAGAACUCUUAUUAGCAAACAAUUUCAUAAGUUCAUCCACCUUUCCACUCAAAACAUUAAUCUCUUCUAUGGCAUGAACCUUUUCACUAGUAGAUCUUUCGGUGUGCCAUUGAGAAUAAUUAACCAUAAUAUUAUCUAAGAGUUUAGUAGCUUCUCCUAAAGUGAUUUCCAUAAAAGUGCCUCCCGUGGCUGAAUCUAAAAGAUUUCUAGAACCAAAAUUCAAACCCGGCAUAAAAUUUUUGUAUGAUCGUCCAUAAAUUUAAUCCAUGUGUAGGGCAAUUGCGAAUCAUUAAUUUCAUCCUCUCCCAAGAUUGUGCAACAUGCUCAUGAUCAAGUUUCUUAAAAUUCAUAAUAUCGUUUCUAAGAGAGAUGAUCUUAGCGUGAGGAAAAUACUUAGAGAUAAAAGCAUCUUUGCACUUAUUCCAUGAAUCAAUACUAUUUUUAGGCAAAGACGAGAACCAAAUUUUAGCAUAAUCUCUAAGCGAAAUGGAAAUAGCUUCAAUUUAACAAUAUCAUUAUCCACGUCUUUCUUCUUUUGCAUAUCACACAAAUCAACAAAGUUGUUUAGAUGAAUAGCGGCAUCUUCACUAGGAAGGCCAGAGAAGUGAUUUUUCAUGACAAGAUUCAACAAAGCAGCAUUAAUUUCACAAGAUUCAGCAUCGGUAAGAGGAGCAAUCAGAGUGCUAAGAAAGUCAUUGUUGUUGGUAUUGGAAAAAUCACAUAAUUUAGUAUUAUCUUGAGCCAUCGUAACAAACAAUCCAACACACAAACACACAAGAUGCAAGCGAAAAAGCGGCGAACGGGAAAAAGAGGGCGAAUAAAAUGACAAGGGUGAAGUGGGGGAGAGGAAAACGAGAGGCAAAUGGCAAAUAAAGUAAUGCGAGGGAUAAGAGUUUGUGAUGGGUACUUGGUAUGUCUUGACUUGUGCGUAGACUCCCCGGAAACGGCGCAAGAAAUCCUUCUUGCUACCUCUUGAGCAUGCAUUGGUUUUCCAUUGAAGAGGAAAGGGUGAUGCAGCAAAGUAGCGUAAGUAUUUCCCUCAGUUUUUGAGAACCAAGGUAUCAAUCCAGUAGGAGGCUACACGCAAAUCCCUCGUACCUACACAAACAAAUAAGGACCUUGCAACCAACGCGAUAAAGAGGUUGUCAAUCCCUUUGAGGGAGGCCUGGAUUAGGGGGUAUCCGGACAGCCGGACUAUAUACUUUGGCCGGACUGUUGGACCGUGGAGAUACAAGUCUCAAGAUUUUGUUUCAUGUCCAGAUGGGACUCUCCUUUGCAUGGAAGACAAGCUUGGCGAUCCGGAUAUUAGAUUUCCUUCUUUGUAACCGACUCUGUGUAAAUCCUAGCCCCCUCCGGUGUCUAUAUAAACCGGAGGGUUUAGUCCAUCGAAGGACAAUCAUAAUCAUCAUAGGCUAGCUUCUAGGGUUUAGCCUCUAUGAUCUCGUGGUAGAUCAACUCUUGUAAUACUCAUAUCAUCAAGAUCAAUCAAGCAGGAAGUAGGGUUUUACCUCCAUCGAGAGGGCCCAAACCUGGGUAAAACAUUGUGUCCCUUGCCUCCUGUUACCAUUAGCCUUAGACGCACAUAUCGGGACCCCCUACCCGAGAUCCGCCGGUUUUGACACCGACAUUGGUGCUUUCAUUGAGAGUUCCUCUGUGUCGUUGCUGCACGGCUCGAUUGCUCCUUCAAUCAUCAACAACAACGCGGUACAGGGCGAGACUUUUCUCCCUGGACAAAUCUUCGUGUUCGGCAGCUUCGCACUACGGGCCAAUUCGCUCGGCCAUCUAUAGCAGAUCGACAGCUACGCCCCUGGCCAUCAGGUCAGGUUCGGAAACUUGAACUACAUGGACGAUAUCCGCGGAGACUUGAUCUUCGACGGAUUCGGGCCUACGCCGGGAGCGCCGAACAGUCACGACGAGCACGGCCUAGACCAGCUGUCGGACAAUACUCGGGAUAUCGCACCUGCAGGAGCUCCGGACCUAAAUUCGGGGUAGAUUGCGUCGUCCGGGGACGGGUGGAUAGACCCCGCCUCUAAGGCCGCACACUCAUUGGCGGUAGAGCCGAACACAGACUCCACCCCCAAGGAAGCCUAUGUCACCAGACCCCCGGACUCGUGUCCGGCUGUAGGUUCGAGACUGCGCGCCCCCAAGCCCGCCGAAUCUGGUCGGGCUCUGGUAAUGGAGUUCACCGCUACGGAUAUCUUCCAGCACUCGCCCUUCGGUGACAUGCUGAACUCAUUAAAGUAUCUCUCUCUGUUAGGAGACUCUCGGUCGAACUAUGUCCGGCUCAAGUGGGAAGCAGGUGACGAGGGAAUUCGUUGCCCACCCACCACCCACUUCAUUGCCACGGUCGAUGAUUUGACCGACGUGCUUGACUUCGACUCCGAAGACAUCGACGGUGUGGACGACGGUGCAGAAGAAGAACAGGAACCACCACCCACGGGGCGCUGGACAGCCACCUCCUCAUAUGAUAUAUAUAUAUAUAUAUAUAUAUAUAUAUAUAUAUAUAUAUAUAUAUGGUGGACACUCCGAAAGAAACCAAUGGCAAUGAGGCAAUGGAGGAUAACCCCUCAAGGAAUAAAGCAAAGCAUGGGCGUCAUCGGUGCCACUCCAAUCCCUGCCACAGCAAUACCAGCACAGGAGACGAAAACAAUCCGGAUGGUGCCGAAGAUGAAUACAACCCCGAUCAGCCUGCCUUCGAGCAGGCCGAACAGGAAGACGGGCAGGUCAGCCCAGACGAACAGGCGACGGACGGAUACCCGGAGGAGUACAACUACAUGCCCCCUCUGAAGACGAGAUUAGCCUCGGCGAUGAUGAAUUCGACGUGCAUGAGGACCCCGUAGAACAGGAGCGCCUCAAGCGCCGGCUUAUGGCCACUGCGAGGAGCCUGAAAAAGAAGCGGUAACAGCUCCAGGUUGAUCAAGAUCUGCUCACAGACAGAUGGACUGAAGUCCUAGCAGCCGAGGAAUACAGACUCGAACGCCACACCAAAGGUUACCCAAAGCACAAGUUGCUACCUCAACUCAAAGAAGAGCUUGUACUACCAGCACAGGAUCAGGCUGACCGACCACCUCGUGGCCGCGAUAAAACAGCGUAUCAGCCCGAAUACCAGCCCGCACCCCCACGACAAUACACUACAUCUCGGGGCAAUAGGCAGGACCUGCGAGACAUACUGGAAAACAAGGCAGGACAGCCAAGAUCGAUCUAGGGAUCGCGGGGGCGUGCCCCAACACGUGACGAUGAUAGUCAUGCCGGAUGCACUAUCAACAAGUCCGGCCGGGCCGAACACAGCCAACCAGACUUAUUCGAACUGCGCAGCCACAUAGUCUGGCAUAGAGGUGCUGCACACCCCCUCUGCUUCACUGACGAAGUGAUGGAUCACGAAUUCCUAGAAGGGUUUAAACCCGUAAACAUCGAAUCAUACGAUGGAACAACAGACCCCGCAGUAUGGAUCGAAGAUUUCCUUCUCCACAUUCACAUGGCCCGCGCUGACGAUCUACACGCCAUCAAGUAUCUUCCCCUUAAGCUCAAAGGACCGGCCCGGCACUGGCUAAAUAGCCUGCCAGCAAAUUCCAUCGGCAGUUGGGAAAACCUGGAGGACGCGUUCCUCGACAACUUCCAGAGCACGUACGUGCGACCACCGGAUGCUGGUGACUUGAGUCACAUUACCCAACAGCCUGGAGAGUCAACCAGAAAAUUUUGGACUCGGUUCCUAACUAAAAAGAACCAAAUUGUUGACUGCCCGGACGCUGAAGCCUUGGCGGCCUUUAAGCAUAAUAUCCACGACGAGUGGCUCGCCCGACACCUCGGCCAGGAAAAUCCGAAGUCCAUGGCGGCCCUCACGACACUCAUGACCCUCUUUUGCGCGGGCGAGGACAGCUGGUUGGCCCGCAGUAGCACCACGCCAAUAAACUCCGGCACUUCAGAUAUCCGCGACAAUAACGGCAAGCCACGGCGCAACAGACAUAAGCGUCGGAACAAUGGAGACAACACCAAAGACAUGGCAGUCAACACCGGAUUCAGUGGCUCAAAAUCUGGUCAGCGGAAAAAGCCAUUCAAAAGAAACAAUCAGGGAUCGUCCAGUCUGGACCGCAUACUUGAUCGCUCGUGCCAAAUUCACGGCACCCGGGAUAAGCCAGCAAACCACACUAACAGAGAUUGUUGGGCGUUCAAACAAGCCAGCAAAAUAAAUGCCAAAAACAAGGACAAGGGGUUGCACAGUGACGAUGACGAGGAGCCCUGGCCUCCGAACACGGGGGGACAGAAGAAAUUUCCUCCCCAGGUGAAAAUGGUCAAUAUGAUCUAUGCCACCCACAUUCCCAAACGGGAACGAAAACGAGCACUAAGGGACGUUUAUGCGAUGGAGCUAGUCGCCCCAAAGUUCAACCCAUUGUCAGCCUGUUCGAUCACUUUUGAUCGUAGGGAUCACCCUACCAGCAUCUGUCACGGCGGUUCAGCCGCAUUGGUCCUCGACCCAAUCAUCGACGGAUUCCACCUUACGCGAGUCCUUAUGGACAGUGGCAGUAGCCUGAACCUGCUUUAUCAGGACACAGUGCGCAAAAUGGGCAUCGAUCCCUCAAGGAUCAAGCCCACCAAAACCAGCUUCAAAGGUGUAAUUCCAGGAGUAGAGGCCUGUUGUACGGGCUCAAUAACACUGGAAGUGGUAUUUGGAUCCCUAGAUAACUUCUGAAGCGAGGAGUUAAUCUUUGACAAUGUCCCUUUCCGUAGUGGCUAUCAUGCACUGCUCGGAUGAACCGCAUUCACUCGAUUCAAUGCGGUACCACACUAUGCAUACCACAAGCUCAAGAUGCUAGGACCUCGCGAGGUUAUAACAGUCAAUGGAAACACAGACCACUCUCUCUAUACAGAGGAGCACACUGCGGCCCUCGCGGCAGAAGUACAAAGCAGCCUUCUCCGGCAAACCAUCAAUCCGGCGACAACAACCCCGAACAUCGUCAAGCGAGUCCGGAGCACCCUGCAACAGGAUCGCCAGGCAUGCCAAAAGCGCGACUAGCAGUCCAGCCUCCGCCCUAGUCCCAUUCAAGCAGCAUUUGUGCCGCGCGUACACAAUUACGAACUCAAAAUACCAUGGGCAUAGGUGGAGGCGCAAUGGUGAUGCGGUCAACAGUGCAGUUCAACCGCAACAUACUUUAAUAACCCCAUUUUCUCUUGCAGGACCCUACUUUCGGGCAGCCUCUUCAGAGAGCCAGAUCAACAGACUCAUCUCAGGAGGGAAAACCAAGGAGGCAAAAGGCUUUACGCACAAAGGGAAUACCCAAGUGGUAUCUGUCAAUGAUCGUUAUACCUGUUUUAUAUACCUACAUGUGUCCUUCCCUUGGAUAGGACAUGUCAAAUAGUCUUAUUUGCUUCUGCUCAACGCAUUAAUUGUACACAUACGCUUGGACGUAUUAUUUAUCAAUGGGAUAUAAUAUAUAGUGUCAGCUUAUUAUUCCUAUGUCCACCUUUUCCCUAAAAAUGUUUAUCUAAUAUUGAACCUGUACACUUUGGUACGGUCAGUUUGCUAGGGGCUUCUCAUGGUGCCCCUUAAUACGGCAAGAUAAGUCCGAACACUUUCAACAAUGCGGCACCCCGAACUUAUAACACUAUAUGCAUCAGCUCCGAAUCAUGUCUUGAGUCAAUAGUUGGGUUUGCUCGGCUCCCUUGUUUUGGUACCUUACGUUAUGUUAUAUCGGCUAAGGUAGCGUAGGGAGAACUACUGCGAUUGUGUCCCGGUUCUUCCGGACGAGCACCUCAGUAGAGAAAGCUGAAAACUGACUAUCAUGAUACGGCGAGAGCUGGUCGCUGUUUGAGAGGUCUUAAAAUCCUUAAAGAUUUUUUCUGCUUUAGGCGAGGAGUCGGCCUCGUCCGAUUUAGGCGUGUAUAGCGCCCCAAUUCGGCUUUCCGAAUCCUAGGGGCUUCGCCGCAAUUUAAAAUUGUAGACUUCUAUGGCUAAGUGAGAGUUAUAAAGCUGCAUAGUCCGAUUGCCUUGUUCGCUGCGCCAAGCACCUCCUUCAAGGACCAAAAAUUUGGAUAAAAGAGUGUUUUGGGUUUUCCACGAACACCCCAGUACUACUUACGUGGGGGCGGAAGCCGACGACUGGCCUACUUUCAGAAUUUUAUAAACAGGCGCACAGAAGGUAAUAUUUUAAAUCAACAAAACGCUAUAUAGCGCAAACAAGUUCGUUUUCAUAUUACAAAGACGACACGAGUACAUUCACUCAAAGAUUGUGUCCUUGGUACAUUCAUCAGCCACGAGAUGAGCACCUUUCAUCACGCCAUCAUAAUAUUUCUCGGGGUAGCGAUGCGCCUUGCCCUCCGGCGGUCCUUCCUUCACCAGCUUCUCUGCAUCCUGCUUGGCCCAAUGCAUCUUCGCACGGGCAAAGGCCCGGCGGGCACCCUCAGUGCAAACGGAUCGCUUGAUAACUUCAAGCCGCGGGCAGGCAUUUACCAUCCGCUUUAUAAGGCCGAAGUAGCUAGCCAGCAGGGGCUCACCAGGCCACAUCCGGACUAUGAAAUCCUUCAUUGCCACUGCGGCCGCCCUGUGGACACUACUAGGGAAAACCUUAUACACAGAAAUUUAGCAACAACGCGGGUCAAAAAAGGGCGCUAGUGCUACAUAGCAGUAGCGAUCGAAGGAAAACCGCACUACAGAUACAAUCUUAGCAGUAGCGCGUGUAGUGGCAAAAGCGCUACUACUAAUAUUCCAAUUGCUAGAAUGAUAGGCUACGCAUAGCAGUAGUGGGCUUGGAAGAAACGCGCUACCGCUAGGGCAUAAGUAGCAGCGCGUUUCCUAAGAAGAGCGCUACUACUAACGGAAAUAAAAUAAGAUGAAAAACAAAUAGAAAAGUAAAUGAAAAUGAAAGAAAUAGAAAAAGGACAAAGGAAAAAUUAAAAUGUAAAGCAAAAUAAAUGAAAAAGCGAAAAGACGGAGGAAGACAUAGCAGCAGCGUGUGUUUGUAAGAGGCGAUGUAGCUAACGUAGCUGCAGCGCGUGUCCUAGACCCCCGCUAUAGAAACAGAAAAGGAAAUUAAAAAUGGAAGAAAAUUACAUAGCUAUAGCAGCAGCGCGUUUUGUAAAAACCGCUAUAGCCAUCUUAGCUAUAGCCCGUUUCACCAAACGCGCUACCGCUAAGUUUGACUUAACCAAAAAACCGUUUCCCCCCGUCCACCACUUCUCCCCCAAAUCCCUCAACCCACCCCGCGCGCCGCCGUCUCCCUGAUUCGCCGUCGCCCCACUUCGCUGCCAUCUCCUGCCGACAUCGACGCCACCAGAGUCAUGCGCCGUCGACGCCACUGGAGCCGCCCCCAACGCCACGGAGCCGUGCGGCCUCGUCAACACCACCGGAGCCGCCAUCGACGCCACCAGAUCCUUCCUCGCCACAAUUGCCUCCCUCACCGUCACCGGAGACGCCCCUGCCUCCCUCGCCGUCACCGGAGACGCCCCUGCCUCCGUCGCCACCACCGGAGCCAUCCUCUGUAAGCCCCCACCCCUCCUCUCUCUCAUGCAUAGGUUAGCUAGUUUAAUUAGGUUAAUUAUCUAGGUUAGGGCAAAAAUUUAGUUAGGGCUUUGACAGAGAAGUAGUUAGGUUAACUAGUUUAAUUAGGUUAAUUAUCUAGGUUAGUGCAAAAUUUUAGUUAGGGCCUUGACAGAGAACUAGUCAGGUUAACUAGUUUAAUUAGGUUAAUUAUCUAGGUUAAUUAGUGCAAAAAUUUUAUUUUGGGCUUUGACAGAGAACUAGUUGCGUUAACUAGUUUAAUUAGGGUUAAUUAUCUAGGUAAACUAGAUUAACUAACUAGGUUAAAUAGGUAGGUUAAUUAGGUUCGUUGGAUUAACAAGCUAGGUUAAGUAGGCUGGCUAGGUUAGAGGAAAAUUUUAUUUUAGAGCAUUAGGUCAGAAGGGUUAGAGAAAUGGAGUUCCUUCGCAAUUUAAUUGGGUUCUGUCCUAGGCAGAGAAGGGUUAGAGAUAAUAAUGUGUGUUUGUGUGUGAGAGAGGAAUAGCUAGAUCAACAUAAUUUGGGUUCUGUCCUAGGCAGAGAAGUGUUUAGUGAGGUCAUUUUGCAAAGGUUUUUGAUUUUUGAAAAGACCACUAUUUUUCAAGGAAAAGAAUUUAGGCAAAUUUUAUUUUUCAUUGAAGUGGUCAUGUCAUAUCUUUUCAUUGAAGUUGUUCGAUUGUGCCCAAGUGGCUUUGUUGUUUCCAGGGAAUGAUGCUGAGUGGCCUAUGUUUUGCCGGAAUGUUGAUUCAUUUCUGUUCCAGCAAAUUUCAAGUUCUCGAUUUGUCCACUUUUUAGCAAAGGUCAUGCCGAAAUUUUCCGUGAAUUUCGGCAUGACUUGUGCUACAAACUAGGACAUAUCGAGUGCCCGGGAUUUGCCGCACCAGGAAGGAGUCAACAUUCCUGCAAAACAAUAGUCCUUUUUUAUGUCAUUAUUCAUUUUAUUAGGUCUAGAAUUAAUUGACUUGAUUUAAUCAUAGGAAACAUGGCUAGCAACGAUGAAGGAGAGGGUUCUGGUGAUUGCGACGACGUCUACCGGGCGGCAGACGAAUUUUUUAGCCUUACCGACGAUCAACUGAUGUUGUUGCUGGGCCCACCGGUGGCAUCGGGGACUGAGACCGACACGCAGACCAGUGCUGAUACUGAGACCGGCGCUGAGAUUCAGACCAGCAUCGAGACCGGCACUGAGACCGGUGCUGCCUCGGGGAGCGGAGCCGGUGUAGAACCGAAAGCAAAGAGGCAACAGGUUCCUAACAAACUCAGGACUACUAGACUGGUGCUCACGGAGGUGGACGACGGCAAUUUUGAGCCAAAGGCGCCCGAGGAAGCGCGCGCGUGCUACGGCAAUCAAAUAGGCUACAUCGUAUGGACAACCGCCACCAUCAACAAUGAGAAACUACAGAAGAUAGAAAAUAUGAGGAGCUCCCUCCUAAAGAAGUUUCACCAGAUAUUCUUGUUUCCAGGCCGGAAUGAGAGGGAUUAUGAAGAUCCAGACGAGGACCCGGCAAUGAAGAAGAUAAACAAACACGCCAUGACCAAGUUUAGCGACGCGUUGGCCGCCUGGAAAAAUCGAGUGAAAGCAAAGAUCAACGACGGGGAACCCUACUCCGAGAUUGUAAAGGAUAAUCCGACAAUCAUGGAAGAGCAGUUUCAAAUAUUCAAGGAGGCUUGCGAGGCCGAAGCUGCCAAAAAAUGUCUAAGUACAUGAAGGGGCUUCAAAAGAGGAACAUUGGGAGCCACCACCUCGGAAGUCGUGGUUACGGCGGAAAGAGGUCCAAAUGGGCCAAGGAGGACGCGGAAGCCGCGAGUCUGGGCAUCCCAGACCCCUUGGCGGAUUUCACCGUCCUGCAGGAGCGUGACGUCCUGAGGGCCCGGCACCGUUGGGACCCAGUGAAGAAGGUUUACGAGACAACACCGGUCAUUACGGAGUUCAUGAGACUGCUGGUAAUUUUAGUUUCUGAUCAAUUCGACUGCACACGUUAGUCAUAUUUGUAAACGAUCCUUGUGCCUUUUGCAGAGAGAGCAGCACCGGAUUGCGGCCGAAAGCGACUCACCGUCUGAGGCAUUGGCGAGGCCCAAGUGGGACACUCCAUUCAACCGGGCGUUGAACAUAUUGAAACGACAAUCGGUGGAUACUCGACCGUCGUAUGGACGCGUGCACGGUGUCGAAGACGGCGCCACAUGGAAGAAGUACUACCGUGAGACCACGGAGGAGAGAAAGGAAAGACGGAGGUUAACUGAAGAAAACAUCGACAAGAAGGUUGAGAUUGCGGUUGAGAAGAAAUCAUCUCAGACAGUCGCAACAGCGGUAGCUGCCGCAAAACAGGCGAUUGCAGAUAUGUCUACUUCCUUGGUGACGGGUGUUUUCACUUGGACAAGGCAAAAUCCAGAAAAAAAUGCAGAGGACUUUCCCCUUGCUGACUUCUUGGGAGCACCUGCUCCCGCACCGGCUCCUGUACCUGCUCCCGCACCGGCUCCCGCACCUGCUCCCGCACCGGCUGCCGCACCUGCUCCCGCACCGGCUCCCGCACCUGCUCCCGCACCUACUACCGCACCGGCUCCCACACUGGACGUGCUCGGUGGUGCCUCCUCUUUGGCUGAGCUCGAUGCCCUCACGGUAUCUAUCACACCGGCCCCCUUCAAUAUAAAUGUAUAAUCUCCCGUUUUCGUUGCCUUUCGGAUGUCUCACGUCGCAGACUUUUCUUUGCAGGCCGACGAAACCCCGUGCACCAUAUUGUACACCAUUGGCGAACAGAAGGUGGACGUGGGGAAGGCGACGAUAAUGGAGCCGAAUGAACCAUUGUUCCACAGCCGGCCGAUCCCCCGAACGUCUUCAAGGUUUCCGUGGCCAGUGUCAAACCGGGCCACGAGAAUUUGCCUCCUCUAAUACUAGUGGGGGAUGACAACGAGACCCCGUGGCGGCUUGGUGAUUGUUGCAAUGGGUGGGUCCUGUUGUGGCCAAAGAGUUUGCUUCAUCUGGAGGCGGCCGGGAGCACACCCACGAGCACGCAGCCUCAGCAAGGUAUGAACAUCAACACCCCACCUACCCAAUUAGCGUCGGGUGUCGGGUUGGGUGAUAGCGGAUGGGGUAAGGAGGAGGCUCCAUUAAUCGCUGAUGACCUCACCAUGGAUGAGGAUGAGGAUGACGAUGGCGCUGAACGGUAUGUCUAUACUGGCGCCUCCUCAGGGUUUGAGCGUCAUGAGUCGGUGCCUGAAUUACCGUCUCAAUGUAUUAUUGACAACCUUCCGGUAGUAAAGAAGUCUAGGAAGAGAGCGAGGAAAGGCAAAAAAGCUGAUUCUAUGAUCUAGCCGCCUCAGCAGCCUCGGCUUCAGGACCGUAUAGAUAUCCCCGAUGCGGAUAAAUGUCAUAUCCCCGGUCAACCAAUCCUACCCGCAACAGUGCUACAGGCCAGAUUGAGCGAUCUAAGGAGACUUCAUGACGAUGUGCUGCGGGUAGAGAAAGGCCUCAUCGCCUCGAAAGAUCCAGGAUACCCACUCUAUGUGGUUAACGUUCCGCGGCAAAUUUCGUGCAUCGACAGCUUCCCCCCGGAUAAGUUCUUCCUCCGAUUCGAUUACAUAUUCGACAUGUUUCACGUGAAGAAGCUGGAUUUUACGUUUGUCCGCCUUUAUGCCUUGCACAUGAACUACAUCAUUGGGGUUGAGCAGAUAUGUCAUAUCUGUGUUGCUGACCCGUACUACAUGCACGAGGGCUUCUUGGGAGUCUGUGCAAAGCAGCGUGAAUACGCGAGUGAUUACAUCGUCAGUUUCAUGCUCGCCAAUAAGGACAAGGAGGUGAUUCUCGUGCCUUAUCAUCCCGUGUAAGUCAUCUGCGCUGCUAUCCUUCCUUCGAUUUCAAUAAUUCAUUUGCACGGUGGAGGCUAAUUAAUUUGAGGUGUACUUAUUUUGCGCAGCGGCGGGCGCGCCGUCCUCAUCAUCCUCUACCCCCGAUUCUCCCACGCUCUUUACUUGGACUCGUCGAAGAACAUUCACAAAAAGGAUUACACCCACAUCAAAGAUGUUCUCAACAGUGCUAUGUUUUACUACCAAGCAAGGGGUGGAGAGGUUAGGGACAAGAAGAGAAGGGGAGGCAGGGCCGCCUUCCACCAUAAGACCGACUUCUCCUGCAUCCAGAAACCAAACAAUUCUCUUAAUGAUGGAUUCUAUGUCCUACACCACAUGCUGGAGUACAGACGGGAUCACCAGAACCUUCACAUGUCACCUAGAUAUGGCGAUGCCCAUAUUCUGCAAUGGGCAAAGUACAUAGGAGAUAUCGAGGAUCAUCGACUUCGAGCUGAGUUCUAUAACAUCCAGCGCGAACUUGCCCAAAUCAUCAUGAACGAGGUCGUCGGAAAAACAGGGAUGUUCUACGGAGAAGGACAAAUGUCGCGGGUAGACGUCCGAACAUGGAUAGCCUCUCAGCGUCUCGACAUGAAGCCUUUCACUAAGCUCAAGGACUAUCUCCCUCACAUGGAUGGAUGGCACGACAUGAUGGAGUGAUUGUCGAUAUAUGACAAUGUGUCUGUUUAGUCCAUACUUUCUGUAUGACAAAACUUUGAGUUAUGCACGGCGAAACUUUAUUUGUGAUGUAAUUAAACCGUCCUCCUCCUCGACUAGCGAAAUUCACUCUAGUUAGGGCAUUUUGGGUACGAUGAACUUUGUUAUUUAUGCUUAUGAUAUGUUGUUUCUAUUUUUGCCAAGUCUGUCUCUUUUUGUUGCUCAACUAUAUAUGUUGCAUAUCAUCGACUCAUGUGACGAUGCAGGUGCAUAGAUCAUAGAUGGCGAAGAAGUGCUACGCCAGCAGUAUAUAUACGACAAGUGGCCGGAGUGUCAGGCCCAGGUGUACCGGUUUCCGGUUUCCGAGUGACAGGCAGUAGUUAGUUUAGGUUCACGCUAGGCGAGAGAGGGAUACAAACUCAUGUACUCAAAGUGAUAGCUCUUCUCGCGUAUAUCAUUGUUUAGAUGGAUGACGAUGUAUUUGCAAGUAAUCGAGACUUGUAUCGCUAUUUUCGAGAUUGAUGAUGAGAGACCACUUUGUGUUGGAUGAUGAUUAUGAUGAUGACAUGAUUUGAUGAGACUAAUUGUAUGUAUAUGCUAUGAUUACAUUUGUAUGUGUAUGAUAUGCUAAAGAUUAUUGUAUAAAGCCUAUUCAAAUACAAAAAAAUACAAAACAAAUAUGCAGGAAAAAAACUAAUAAAACUAGUAGUAGCGAGGGGGAAAUUUUAGAAGUAGCGCCGCCUUACCAGUAGCGCUUCCCUGUAAAAAGCGCUGCAGAUAAUAUCAGUAGCGCCCUUUUCCAAAGAGCGCUACAGCUAUUCAUGUAUAGCAGUAGCGUGGGACAACAGGCACUACUGCUAUACGUUAGUUAUAGCGCCUUAUUAGUAGCGUCGGUACCCGCGCUACUGAGAGGCCCAAAACCCGCGUUGUUGCUAGGCUUUUCCCUAGUAGUGGGAGUUCAACCAAUUGCUUCAGUUGGUCACUCAGAGGCAUUUGGGUGUUCGGCUCCAGCAUACUGGGACCAGAACAGCUUCUCCAUUGAGCUCCCCUCUUCGGCACGGUAGAACUCCACGGCAUCCAAUAUGCUGUGUGGCAGAUCUGCGAAUGCCCCUGGAGAGCUCCGAAUUCGGGUAAGUAAAAGAAAUGUCUCCUCCACAUGCUUGCUUUGCAUAAUGAAUGCCUUACCCGCCGCUAUCUUCUUGGCCGCAUGGAUUUUCUGUUGGGCCUUUUGGGCUUCGGCCUUGGCAUCUUUCGUGCUCAAAAGGGCCUUCGCAAGCUCAGACUCCUUCGUCUUGAAGUCAUGCUCCAAGGACGAUCUUGCUGUACCUUGCCCACCCUCGCAUCUUGCUUUUCACGCUCAAUGCGCUCCAUGGCCGCCUUGUUUUCGGCCUCGGAUAGCGCUUUCUUCAGGGCCGCCACUUCGGUCGUGGCCCCUAUUACAAAAUCAUGACGCUUUUUGUUAGCGUCACCAAUUUUUCCUACUAUAUGAUAUGUGAACGGGGUAUCACUCACCUUUGUUCUCUUCGAGCUGCCUCUUCGUGAGGUGGAGCUCCCCUUCGGCCUGCUCCAGGUCCCAUUUAAGUCCGGUGACCUCUGCUGUGCGGGUAGCAGCGGCAAGCAGUACCGCGUGCUUAUUCACGUAGACACAUACUGUUAGACUCAUGCGGUUUAGAGUUGACCCUCCAUUUGGCUUUUCUUUCCGAACACCAAACAGAGUAACAGGGGCUACUGUCUAUUGGAGGAUAAUUUCUCACACUUUUGAUUACUUACCUCAAAGCCUGUCAGGAGGCUGUUACAGGCUUCGGUCAAUCCGCUUUUGGCGGACCGAACCUUCUGAAUCACCGCACUCAUCAGAGUACGGUGCUCUUCAUCCAUGGAAGCACCGCGAAGCACUUCCAGCAGACUAUCCGACGCCUCUGGCAUGACGGAAGUCAUUGGCACGGUAGGCUCGCCCUCCUUAGCGAGGGGCUGCAUGCCCGAGUCCGGAACCUUUGGAGGUUCUGGUACAGUGUCUGGCUGGGGGCCCAACUUGCUGCGGCUCUCGUCAGCAUAAUCUGCGGGGAUCUUACGCCCCAUGUACCCGGCGUCUGGAAUUUCACCUUGGGGCGUCUCCAAAGUCGCCUCCCCCUGCUCUGGGACCCUUUGGGACUCCACCUCCGUGUCAUCCACAGGCCGAGGGGAGGUGGCCAUCGGGAGCGAAUUCAUCGCCGAAUCGCUCAAAGACCCAUCCGAAGAGGAUACCUCGGGAUGGGCCCUGGCCGGACUGCAUAUACGUGUUCGGCAUUAUAACAAACUAUGAAGCUAAGUGGCACUAUAGUAUUAACAGGGUGCGGAUACUUUCGAUCUCACUAGGGGCUUGCCCCUGGGCAGCCACUCCUCCUCGUUGUAGGCGGUUGCGGUGGAGUGAUCCGGAAGGGACGCCUUUCCCUUCUUCGGCGUCUUAGCCUCCCUCUGCGGGGCAGCUUUCCUUUUCCUCUCCUCCCCAAUAUGGGGAGGUGGAAUUUCUUCUUGUUUCCCCCCGCCUCUGCGGGAGGAAUCUGCCUCGUCGUCCUCGGGCGACGAGUCUAUGACGGCCUUGCGCCGGGGACCCUUCCUGGUCCCCAAGGCCGCCCUCUUGGACCCUUCGGCCUCCCCGGAUGGGGCGGCCCUUUUCUUCUCCUCCCCCCCUUCGUGGGAGGAGUGUGCCUCAUCGUCUUCGAACGAGGCGUCCAGUGUGACCUUACGCCGGAGACCCUUCCUGGUCCCCGUGGCCUUCUUUUCGGCCUUCUUUUCCGGCACCUUGUAAGGCGCCGGGACUAGCAUCUCCGUCAGGAGAGCGGUUGAUGGGUCUUCUGGCAGUGGAGCUGAACAGUCGAUCCGCUCCGCCGUCACCACAUAAUCCUGAUUAAAUACACACGAUGACUUAAAAUCCUCCCAUGAGUAUGCUGGGAAAGGUACAUCUGGUGAUGGUCAGAAAACUCACCGGAUGGGGGAGCCGCGUGGCAUGAAGUCCACGGUCCUCAGAUGUGGGAGGAGGUAUUUCGAAAGCCUUGAAUAGCACCUUCCAUGCGUCCUUGUGUGUCGUGUCGUAAAGCUCUUGAAGUGUCUGGUGUUCGGCCGGAACGAACUCCCACAAAUUAAAUACCCGUCUUUGGCACAGAAGGAUUCGGGGGACGAGCAUGACCUGGACCAUGUUGACGAGCAUGAUUUUCUUGUCCAUCAUAUUUUUGAUGCAGUUCUGAAGUUCUGUCAGCUCCGCAGGUUCACCCCAGGCCAGGCCCUUCUUUUCCCAAGAAGUGAGCCGCAUGGGGAUUCCGGAUCAGAAUUCGGGGGCCGCCACCCAGUUAGCGUCGCGCGGCUCGGUGAUGUAGAACCACCCCGAUUGCCACCCUUUCACAGUCUCUGUGAAGGAGCCGUCAAGCCAGGUAACAUUGGGCAUCCUGCCCACCAUGGCGCCUCCGCACUCUGCUUGCUGACCGCUCACGAUCUUCGGCUUCACGCAGAAAAUUCGUAGCCACAAGCCAAAGUGGGGCUUGAUGCGGAGGAAGGCCUCGCACACGACGAUAAACGCUGAGAUGUUGAGGAUGAAAUUUGGGGCUAUAUCAUGGAAGUCCAGCCCAUAGUAAAACAUGAGCCCGCGGACAAAGGGAUGAAGUGGAAAUCCCAAUCCACAGACGAAGUGGGCAAGGAACACGACCCUCUCGUGGGGUCCCGGAGUCAGAAUGAUCUGCCCCACGUCCGGCAGCCAGUGCACGAUAUAUGUGGCCGAGUAUCCGGCCGCCCGGAGCCUCGUAAUAUGCUCCUCCUUGACGGUGGAGGCCACCCACUUGCCUCCUGCUCCGGACAUGUUUGGCUGUGCGGAGAAGGUGUGAACUAGGGCGCUGGAGCUCAAGGGUGCGAGAAUGGAUAGGCGAAGAAGGAAGAAGGCGUGGGUAAAAAUGGGGAAUCCUUAUCCCUUUAUAGAGGCGACGCAAACGGUGCGCCUCCCCACUUGCCAGUUGAAAAUUGCUUAUUUCCCAAGCGCCACGAUUGAUGGCGCGGUUGGGUUACCCGUACCUGUAUUUAUGAGAAUCCCGUGAUAAGGAGACAUGAUCUCUGCUUCGACAAGACGUGCCGAGGAAACCGCCUCGCAAUAUGUGUUGUGGCUGGUUGUGGGAAAACGGUUCGAAUAAUGACUCAACCGUAUUGUCAUGUCACGUUAUCUGAAGUUGUCAGUAGAUUACAUUUGUGGAAUAUCAUUCUCUCUACGGUGGUAUGUGAGAAUUAUCUUGCAAGGCCGGACACGGUUUAAGUGUUCGAAGUUUACUUUGGAGUAUCCGGAGAUGGAACCCGCCUUGCAAUGAUGAAGACAAUCUACGCGCCAGACUCAUCGUCAUUGAAGCCUGGUUCAGGGGCUACUGAGGGAGGACUGGAUUAGAGGGUAUCCGGAUAGCCGGACUAUAUACUUUGGCCCGACUGUUGGACCAUGGAGAUACAAGACUCAAGACUUUGUUCUGUGUCCGUAUGGGACACUCCUUUGCGUGGAAGACAAGCUUGGCGAUCCGGAUAUUAGAUCUCCUUCUUUGUAACCGACUCUGUGUAAACCCUAGCCCCCUCCGGUGUCUAUCUAAACCGGAGGGUUUAGUCCAUCGAAGGACAAUCAUAAUCAUCAUAGGCUAGCUUCUAGGGUUUAGCCUCUACGAUCUCGUGGUAGAUCAACUCUUGUAAUACUCAUAUCAUCAAGAUCAAUCAAGCAGGAAGUAGGGUUUUACCUCCAUCGAGAGGGCCCGAACCUGGGUAAAACAUUGUGUCCCUUGCCUCCUGUUACCAUUAGCCUUAGACGCACAGAUCGGGACCCCCUACCCGAGAUCCGUCGGUUUUGACACUGACAUCCUUCAUGGCCACUUGCAAAAGUGAGAUCUGAUAGAGAUAAUAAGAUAAAAAAUUUUGGUAUUUUUAUGAUAUAGAUUAGAAAGUAAAGAUUGCAAAAUAAAAUAGAUCGGAAACUUAUAGGAUGGAAAAUAGACCCGGGGGCCAUAGGUUUCACUAGUAGCUUCUCUCAAGAUAGCAUAAGUAUUACGGUGGGUGAACAAAUUCCUGUCGAACAAUUGAUAGAUAAGUGCAUAGUUAUGAGAGUAUCUAGGCAUGAUCAUGUAUAUAGGCAUCACGUCCGUGACAAGUAGAUCGAAGCGAUUCUACAUAUACUACUAUUACCCCACACAUCGACCGCUAUCCAGCAUGCAUCUAGAGUAUUAAGUUCAUAAGAACAGAGUAACGCAUUAGGAAAGAUGACAUGAUGUAGAGGGAUAAACUCAAGCAAUAUGAUAUAAACCCCAUCUUUUUAUCCUCGAUGGAAACAAUACAAUAUGUGCCUUGCUGCCCUUGUUGUCACUUGGAAAGGACACCGCUAGAUUGAACCCAAAGCUAAGCACUUCUCCCAUUGCAAGAAAGGUCAAUCUAGUAGGCCAAACCAAACUAAUAAUUCGAAGAGACUUGCAAAGAUAACAAAUCAUACAUAAAGAAUUCAGAGGAGAUUCAAAUAUUGUUCAUAGAUAAUAUUGACCAUAAACCCACAAUUCAUCGGGUCUCGACAAACACACCGCAAAAAGAAUUACAUCGAAUAGAUCUCCAAGAAGAUCGAGGAUAACUUUGUAUUGAGAUCCAAAGAGAGAGAAGAAGCCAUCUAGAUAAUAACUAUGGACCCGAAGGUCUGAGGUAAACUACUCACACUUCAUCGGAGAUGUUAUGGUGUUGAUGUAGAAGCCCUCCGUGAUCGAUUCCCCCUCCGGUGGAGCGCCAUAAAAGGCCCCAAGAUGGGAUCUCAUGGGUACAGAAGGUUGUGGCGGUGGAAAUAGGGUUUCGUGGUGCUCCUGGAUGUUUUCAAGGUAUAUGAGUAUAUAUAGGCGAAAGAAGUCGGUCAGGGGAGCCACGAGGGGCCCACGAGGGUGGGGGCGCACCUACCCCCCUGGGCGCGCAUCCCUGCCUCGUGGCCUCCUCGUUUCUUUCUUGACGUCCACUCCAAGUCUCAUGGAUUGCGUUUGUUCCAAAAAUAACUCUCCCGAAGGUUUCAUUCCGUUUGGACUCCAUUUGAUAUUCCUUUUCUACGAAACACUGAAAUAGGCAAAAAAAUAGCAAUUUGGACUGGGCCUCCGGUUAAUAGGUUUGUCCCAAAAAUGGUAUAAAUGUAUAUAAUAAAUCCCAUUAAACAUCCAAAACAGAUAAUAUAAUAUCAUGGAACAAUCAAAAAUUAUAGAUACGUUGGAGACGUAUCAGGACCUACCCUAUUGGAAAGACCUAGAGGUCUGCUCUGCAAUCAACGUAAUGCACGUGACGAAGAAUCUUUGCGUGAACCUGCUAGGCUUCUUGGGUGUGUAUGGGAAGACAAAAGAUACACCGGAGGCAUGGGAGGACCAGCAACGUGUGCGCGAAAAAGACGGCAUGCCUUCAAAGCGGUAUGAAGGUCCUGCAAGCUAUGCUCUUACCAAAGAAGAGAAGGAAAUCUUCUUUGAAUGCCUACUCAGUAUGAAGGUCCCGUCUGGCUUCUCGUCGAAUAUAAAGGGAAUAAUAAAUAUGGCACAAAAAAAGUUCCAAAACCUAAAGCCUCAUGACUGCCACGUGAUUAUGAUGCAACUGCUUCCGGUUGCAUUGAGGGGGCUUCUACCAGAAAAUGUUCGAUUAGCUAUUGUGAAUCUAUGUGCAUUCCUCAAUGCAAUCUCUUAGAAGGUAAUCAAUCCAGAAAUCCUACCAAGGUUAAGCAAUGAUUUGGUGCAAUGUCUUGUCAAUUUCGAGCUGAUGUUCCCACCAUGCUUGUUCAAUAUCGUGAUGCACGUCCUAAUCCUACUAGUCGACGAGAUUUCCAUUCUGGGCCUUGUAUUUGUACACAAUAUGUUCCCCUUUGAGAGGUUCAUGGGAUCUUAAAGAAAUAUGUUCGUAACCGUGCUAGGCAGAAGGAAGCAUCUCCACGGGCCAUCCACAGAGGAGCUCAUUGGGUUUUGUGUUGACUUCAUUCCUGACCUUUAGAAGAUUGGUCUCCCUCAAUCGCGGUAUGAGGGGAGACUGACUGGGAAAGGCACGCUAGAAGCAGACUCAAUGAUAUGUAGGGACGGGCAUUCUUGGUCUCAAGCACACUAUACAGUUCUACAGAAUUCUACCUUGGUGACCCCGUAUGCCAAUGAACACAAGAAUAUUCUGUGCUCCAAACACCCGGAGUAGUGUGACAAAUGGAUUACAUGUGAACACAUCAGGACUUUCGGCAGUUGUUUGCAAACACAUCUCAUGGAUGACAACAUUGUUGCAGAUGAGCUGUACUAGUUGGCUAGGGGACCAUCUUCGACUAUAUUGACUUACAAAGGGUACAAGAUAAAUGGGAAUACAUUUUACACGAUCGCCCAAGAUCAAAAGAGCACCAACCAAAACAGUGGUGUCCACUUUGAUGCAGCAACCAAGUGGGGAAAGGGCACAUAUUUUGGUUACAUAGUGGACAUAUGGGAACUUGACUAUGGACAUGAUUUUAAGUUCCCUUUGUUUUUGUGCAAACGGGUCAAUCUGUCAGGAGGCAGGGUACAGGUACACCACAGUAUGAAAUGACAACAGUGGAUCUAAACAAUCUUGGGUACACAGAUGAACCAUUCGUCCUAGCCAAUGAUGUGGCGCAGGUUUUCUAUGUGAAGGACAUGUCUACCAAACCGAGAAAAAGAAAAGGUAAGGAAGCGAAUACAUCAUACGAUGAGCCAAAGAGCCACAUAGUUCUUUCAAGGAAAGGAGACAUCACAGGCGUGGAGGGCCAGACACACAUGUCUGAAGAUUAUGAAAAGUUUCAUGAAAUUCCUCCCUUCAAAGUCAAGGCUGACCCAAGCACCCUGUUAAACGAUUAAGAUUAUCCAUGGUUACGUCACAAUACGCGAGGGACACACGCGAAAAAAAGUGAAGACUUUCUCUCCACAACUAUUCUGGUGAUGCCUUUGAUCUAGAAUAUCACUGCAGUUACAUGUCAAGAAAUGAAAUGCCUUUUGUAACAUAUGAGUUUUCGUCCGAAACACUAAUACUUCGAAAGAGAUUGUCCAUUUUGUACAUAAAGUGCAUCCAAUUUUUGCUGUAACCCUCUCAACUUUUUAGAACAUGCUAUAUGGGUAAAAUGAUGAUACCGUGCCAACUUACAUGUUAGAAACUAAUAGCAAACUAAAAUAACAAAAUCUGUUUUUGAUUAAACAGCCAUUUAAUAAUCUAAAAAUUUACCAAAUUGAAUAUAAUGAUAAAACACACUAAUAUUAAAUAGUAGGAAAAAGAAUCACUCAAAAACUAUUUUUAAAGUAAAGUUAUUCACAAAGUAGUAAUUCACACAAAUUUCAAAGAAUUCAAAUUUAAACUAUUCAAAUUUGAAAACUAAUGGCACUAACAGAAAGUUUAUAAUUUUUGUGACCUAAUGCAAAAAGAAUCACUCAAAAACUCUAAGUAUUUAGCUGUAAGUAGAAACAAAAGAAAAUCAAUAAAGCAAAAAAAAUACAGGAAAACAAUUAAAAAAUGUCACCUACUAGGCCACCACGGCCUGCAUACAACUAGAAACCCAACCCGCUGGUUGGGCCAGGACGCAGGCCCGUAGCAGGCCUAGUAGGCCCACAAGUAGGGUGAGUGAGUUUAGGCUCGUAGGCAUGCAUUAGAGAGGAGCUCGAGAGGGUAGCGGCAGCGGCGCUUAUAAACCACUCCGAGCCCCUCUCAACUAGCGAGGUGGGACUAAACUUUUGGCUGCAGCAGCAUCCUCCUUUCGUCCUGGUUGGUGGCACUAACCGGGACCUAUGCCACCCUUUCGUCCCGGUUGGUGGCACCAACCGGGACCAAUGCCCCCCUUUAGUCCCGGUUCAUGCCACCAACCGGGACCAAAGGUCUCUGCUUCCCGCCCUUUGGGCUGACGGAAACCAACCUUUGGUCCCGGUUGGUGUCACAAACCGGGACUAAAGGAGGGCAUUCGUCCCGGUUGGUGCCACCAACCGGGACUAAAGGCUUUGCUAUAUAAGCCAACACUUAGCGUUUUCCAAUCUCAGUUCUUCUUUCCCCCGAUGCCGCGCCGAACACCACGAUGUCGCCAGGCUGCCGGACCGCACCCUCGCCCUCGCCCUCGCCGAUGCCCUGCCGCACCUGAUCCCGCUGACCAUCACCAACACCAGACCUCCUCGUGCGCCCUCCUCCCCGUCCCUUCGUGCGCCCCCGAGCCCAUUCCUCGUCGUCGCUGGCCUUCGGCUCUAUCGCCGCGCCCCCGGUAAGCUCCCCCUUUCCCAUCGCCGCGCCCUCGCCCUCGCCCUCGCCGCUGCUGCCACUGCUCCAAAUGGCCACCGAUGUGCUUCUUCCUAUGUUUUUUAGUUGCAUAAUGAGAUGAAUAGAUAGAUGAAUUUUAGUUGAAUAAUGAUAUGAGAUGAGAUGUAUGUGCUCUGUUUUUUAGAUGAGAUGAGAUGUAUGAGAUGUCAUCUGGAAAUGUGCUAUGUCUUUUUAGAUGAAUAGAUAGAUGGAUGAAAUAAAUAUGCAUGAUGUUCUAAACUUUGAAAUGUGCUCUGCUUAUUUAGAUGUGAUAGAUAGAUGUUUCGUGGAGAUGAGAUGAGAGGGAGGAGAAUAUUUUUUAGAUGUGAUAGGUAGUAUUUUUUUGAAUUUUUUUUGUUCAUAGAAUAUUUACCAAGUUACAUGAGUUAAAAUGAGUUAGUGUGGAUUUUUUGUGGAUAUGAGAUGUUUUGUGGAGAUGAGAUGAGAUGUUGUCAUGUGGAAAAUUUUUUUGUUCAUAGAAAACUCGGGUAACUUCGACAUGAGGGGGGAUGUCGAUCAACCCCCUCUUGCCCGACCAACUCUCGAGUCCACCCAAACCAGGAAUGAAAGAGUGUUGUCAAGGCCACCCCAAACCCUAGAAGAGUUGUCGAGGCCACCCAAAUUUACCAAGUUAAAUGAGUUAAAAGAGCGUUGUCGAGGCCACCCCAAACCCUAGAAGAGUUGUCGACGCCACCCAAAUUUACUAAGUUAAAAGAGCGUUGUCGAGGGCACCCCAAACCCUAGAAGCGUUGUCGAGUCCAUCCUAAUUUACCAAGUUAAAAGAGCGUUGUCAAGGCCACCCCAAACCCUAGAAGCAUUGUCGAGGCCACCCAAAUUUACCAAGUUAAAAGAGCAUUGUCGAGGCCACCCAAAUUUACCAAAUUAAAAGUUACUAAUUACUCCCGGUCCACUCGCCCGACCAACUCUCGAGGCCACCCAAACCCUAGAAGAAAAAGCAUUGUCGAUCUACCCCAUCCCUGCAUAGCGAUUAUUUUUUGCAAAGUGUCUUCUCCUAAAAGUAUAACCCCGAUAACUUCGACAUGAGGAGGGACGUCGGACAUGCAUGAGAGAGAGAGGCGGUCUGCAACUAAUCCAUUACUCAUAUAUGCAUAUGAUUCAUUGUUGUGAUUUGAUAGGUCUAUGUUUGCCACUAAUUAAUCCAUCUCUCAUGUUUGUAUAUUGCCAUGUUGUAAUAUUUGCAGAAACUACGGAAAGAGACUUAGAAUAAGAACAAUUGUUGGAGGAUAUAAUCCUCAGCAGAGGUGAUCCCUUGUCGUUUCUCAAUGACACCGAUGGUCGGGAAGGAGAGGAUGACGGCUCCGGUGAUCCACAAUGGAGGAGGAAGGAGAUCAUGAUGGUACCAGUGACUGAAUGGCGGAGGAAGGAGACCAUGAUGAUGGCUCCAGUGACCUAACGGAGGAGGGAGCUGUUGCAAAGUCCGAUGAGGUAUAUAUAUAUUAAUUAAGCCUGUGCUGACUUGAUGCAUUAAUUGUUUUGGUAUGUACAUAUAUUAACGCUUCUUUCCUCUUUUAUAUCCCUCUGGAUCGAGACAAACUUCCGUAAGGAGAUGAGACCCGAAGAAAAGGUUGCGCCAGGAUGGAAGGUUCACGAUCACAAAAAUUGCGAAAGAUGGCCAAGCAUUGCUCCCAAGCGGACCAAGGGCGCAUUUGUACAUUAGUGCGGAGUUGUUGUUAGGGAUAGCGUCCCGGUCAGCAUCGUGCAAUGCAACAAGAGUAAGGACGACCCUCAAGUAUCUUAUGUCCAGGAUAGACUAAAAGGUUAUCUUUGGACCUCGCUGUAGACAAAUUUCAGCCUCCCGCCAAAGGAGGAGCCGAAUAACCCAGUUAUAGAGCCAAAGGUCAAGGAGUAUGCUCUCAAUAAGAUGGCAAAACUAUUUAGGAACUGGAAGAAAGAGUGUAGGAUCGAAAGUAUGUCUAGAGGGGGGUGAUUAGACUACUUGACCAAAUAAAAACUUAACCUUUUUCCAAUUUUAGUUCUUGUCAGAUUUUAGCAACUUAGCACAAGUCAAGCAAUCUUAACACAAUUCAAGCAAGCAUGCAAAGAGUAUAUGGUCAGCGAAAAGUAAAGCAUGCAACUUGCAAGAAAGUAAAUGGGAGGAGUUUGGAGGGAGCAAACGCAAUGUUGACACAGAGAUUUUUGGCGUGGUUCCGAUAGGUGGUCCUAUCGUACAUCCACGUUGAUGGAGACUUCAACCCACAAAGGGUAACGGUUGUACGAGUCCACGGAGGGCUCCACCCAUGAAGGGUCCACGAAGAAGCAACCUUAUCUAUCCCACCAUGGCCAUUGCCCACGAAGUACUUGCCUCACUAGGGUAGAUCUUCACGAAGUAGGCGAUCUCCUUGCCCUUACAAACUCCUUGGUUCAACUCCACAAUCUUGAUGGAGGCUCUCAAGUGACACCUAACCAAUCUAGGAGACACCACUCUCCAAAAGGUAAUAGAUGGUGUGUUGAUGAUGAACUCCUUGCUCUUGUGCUUAAAAUGAUAGUCUCCCCAACACUCAACUCUCUCUCACAAAUUUGGCUAUGGUGGAAAGAUGAUUAGAGUGGAAAGAAACUUGGGGAAGACUAGAGAUCAAGAUUCUUGUGGUUGGAAUGGAAUGUCUUGGUCUCAACACAUGAGAAGGUGGUUCUCUCUCAGAAAAUGAAUGCUGGAAGGGUAGGCACGUACUGAUGGCUCUCCCCAUGAAUGAAGAGUGGGUGGAGGAGUAUAUAUAGCCUCCACACAAAAUCUAACCGUUACACACUGAUUCCCAAAUCGGUGGGACCGAAUGGUGAAACUCGGUCGGACCAAUUAAGGUCAAAAUAUGAACAUUAGGCUUUUCGGUGGGACCGACACGGUCAUCUCGAUGGGGCUGAUAUGCUAGGGUUAGGGCAUAACGUAAUCUCGGUGUGACCGAUUACAUAAACUCGGUGGGACCGAUUUCAGUAAUAGGCACAUAGAGAGUUGGUCAGGCAAACUCGGUGGGACCAAUCUUCUCACUUCGGUGGGACCGAAGUGUUACGUAAGGGGAACAGUGAGUUUGCAUUGCAGACUCGGUGGGACCAAUUCGCUCAUUUCGGUUGGACCGAAAUGUUACAAAAAGGAAAUAGUGAGUUCGCAAUCCCAUCUCAGUGAGACAUCGGUGAGACCAAAGUGACUAGGGUUUGUGGCAGUGGCUAUGUCAAAAGAAACUCGAUGGCGCCAGAUAGAUCAAAUCGGUGGGGCCGAAUUUGACUUUUGGGUUUAGGACAUAUGUGGAAUUGAGAAGGUGGUUCAGGGUUUUGGAGCAUAUCACUAAGCAUUUUGAGCAAGUAAGCCAUUAAGCAACACCUCAUCCUCUUUUAAUAGUAUUGGCUUUCCUAUUGACUCAAUGUGAUCUUGGAUCACUUAAAUGGAAAAUGUAGAGUCUUGAGCUUGUUGCCAAUAUGUGUCCUUAGCAUUUUGAGGGGUCCACAUCUCUAGUCCAUGCCAUGCCAAUCAUUGAACUUUCUGAAAUGAUCAUCUUGAAAGAGCAUUAGUUCAAUGAACUAUAUGUUGUUAAGAAUUACCAAAACCACCAGGGAUUAGUUGCACUUUCAAUCUCCCCCUUUUUGGUAAUUGAUGACAACAUAUAGAUCAAAGCUUCGACAUGUGAUAAAAAGAAUGAAUUACAACGUCGCUUUGAGAAGUAUGUGACAAGCAAGAGCUCCCCCUAAAUUUGUGCAUUACUUAAAAUUUUCUUUUUAAUGCAAAUGUACAAAUAAAUAGGACCAUGGGUUACUCUUCCAUGUUACAUACAUCUUGGUGGAGCGCUCAAAAUGAUAAAAAGUAGAAACAAGCACACAUCACUAAGGCAAAGUGAAUGAUCGUAUAUAAGAGAUAGAUAAUUUCAUCAUUCAAACACAAUCAUUAAGCAUAAUAUGAUCAAUCACAUGAUCAUACAAAGUAUCUCACACACAAAGACAUAAAGUAUCUCACACAAGCAAACAAAGCAAAUGAGUAGCAAAAGAAGCAAAUCUAUCUCUCCAAAGCCUAUGAUCUAUACACUUUCUCCCCCUUUGGCAACAAGUUACCAAAAAGCUUGAAAAUGCAUAGUGUUAUGCAUCCCUCUAGGCUUGAUCUUCAGUAGGAUGUGUUGAGAUGACCCCAAGGACAAAAGCAUCAGUGGAAGAUGUUGGAGAUGGUGGAGUUGCCAUUGGAGGGGCAACAGGAGCUGUGGCUGGAGGUGCUGAAGUUGUUGCUUUUGUAUCUGGUACUAGCACUGCUGCAGACCUCUGUCCUCUAAGCACUCUGUGAAAUACUUGUGUAGUUGCUUUUCGCUUCCUCUCUUCUGCUUCUUCCUGGAGUUCUUCAACUGUUGUCUGAAUUUCAGUCACCUUCAAGUCAAGAUCGUAGAAUUUGGUUUCAAGGAUCCUCUCCAAGCUCUCCUGGUUCUGAGUCAGGGUGGCCAGUCCUUUCUCAGUUCUCAAGGUUGCUUGAAUCAAAUAUCCAAGCUGGUCUUGCUUUGACUUGAGGAAUACUUCUGAAGCUUCUUCAGCACUAGGCAUCUUGCUGCCUUCUCUGCUUUGGCUUUCUGUCUUUUCUCUUGAGCUUCUAGGGAUGUUAGAUCCUCAGCUGUCAUGACAACAGUGUUGUCCUCAAAGUCUGGUUGCAAAGGCAAAUGCUCUUUGUCCAACAGGUACACUCCCUUGGGCAUCUUGGAGUUGAUCAGCAUUCGAAUACCCACAAGGCCUUUUCUGGUCAGCAGAUGUCCUCUUGAUUGUCUCAACAAUCAGACUCAUGACUUUUAACUUAUGUGGCAAAUCAAACAUCUGAAGAAGAUUCCUGGAAUGGCCUCUGAUCAUCCUGUGAUCUCCUAAUUUGGGCAACAAGGUGUGCCUCAAUAUUGUGUUCAUAGUGGCCAGGCCAGACAUCAAGUAGUACACUGACCCUAGCUUGUGAGUCUCCAAAGCUUUGUCAGGUAUUUCCGUGUACAUGUUUUCCAUAGAGUUGUGGUCUUUCUUUUUCUCAGCAUAGACAUCAAUGUCUUUCUCAUGCUCCUUGGGUGCUUUGAUGAGUUUUGUCCACUCAUUCGUUGUAGACUGGUAUCUUGUUCCUUCAGUCAUCCACACUAUCUUACCAUCUGGAUAGAAAUGAGCUGUAGAGUAGAACUGCAUAAUGAGCUCAUCAUUCCAUUUGGUUAGCUUUUGACCCACAAAUUUGUCAACACCAUUGAACUUGAAGCUCUCAUGCACUCCUGGAAAGUGAUCUUCAUUAGCAUCAAUAUACUUCCAGUCAACCCACUUCAUGUCACUGACAAUGGGUUUCUUGUCAAGCAGAACCGUUUCAUAAAAAUCCUGUUGUUCUUUGGUGUGGAAUCUGUAGUCCACAUAUGUCCUUCUCCUUACUGCAUGUAAAUCAGCUUGUCUCCACAAUCUGAGACCUGCAUCUUUCCUUUCCUUCAUAUUCUCAGCCACUGGAUGAUUGUCAUCAUGGUCUGGAAUUUUUGGCUUGAGCUUCCUAAGCACUUGGGCUUCAGCAUCUUCUUCCUCAACUUCAGGCACUGGGGCCUUUUUCUUUUCUGCAGCUGGGAUGUUCCUGGUGCUUCUCUUAGGAGUUGUCUUGGAGGCUUGAGGUGGAGCUUUGGGGGCUGUCUUGGGCUUUGAAGGAGUAGCCCCAAACUUGAUGGCAUCCCCCAUCAGCUUUUGUGACUUAGAAGGAGGUGCUUGUGCAGCAACCUCUUCUUCCUCUUCUUCCUCACUAGCAGAGUCUCUCCUCAUAGAUGGAUUUCCAAGCACUCCAGCUGUGGUUUUCCAUACCCUCUUCUUGCCCUCUUCACCUGUUAUUUGCUCAAGUGUGAAUACCAUGGUUUCUUGAGUUGAUCCCUUGGCCUUAGACAUUGGAAUUCUCCUGGCAGGUGCUUUCUUGUGCUGUCCUGGCUUGGUGGAAGCAACAUCAGCAUAUUCCUUCUUUAGCACCUUCUUCUUUGAGCUGACAUCUUCAAUCUCAAAGUCUUCUCCUCAGAGUCUGAAGUUUUCUUCUUCCUCCUCCUAGUCUGAUCCUUUGGCAGGUUACUAGGUGUGCUCCUGCUACCUUAAUCAUAGCUUCUAGAGGGACUAGUGCCCUCACUUAAGUCCAUCUGCUCCUUUGACUUGUUCUAACUAUCACUUUGAUCAGACAUUCUGCACAGCAAACUGAGAGCUGACCCUGUUAAUAGUUGUAUAUGAGAUAGAGUAGAUGAGCAUCGCAAAGUGCAGAGUUUUUACAAAAAGAAUGAGUCAAAAACUUAGUUUUAGCUUUCUACAGGAAGCAUUUCGGAGCUACCGAUUUGUAAAAUUCGGUGACACCGAAGCAACUUUGGAGUCUAAACUAGUGAAAUCGGUCAGACCAAGACAUAGUUCGGUGACUCCAAGUUUGCUAGGGUUUCACAAAGUCCUCGCAUCGAUCACACAGAUUUGCAACUUUCGGUCAGAUCGAAAAUCACAUGUGCACUGGCCUAAGCCAAAUCGAUGAGACCGAUUUCUACAAUUCGGUCAGUCUGAGAUGAGUCCGGUGGAAACCUAACCCUAAAUUUUUCCAAUCAAAUCUAAUCUAAAGGAUGAUUUCUAUGGAAAGAAACAUGACAUUGCCUUUGUGCUAGGAAUCGAAGUUAAACGAAAGCACAAAGUGUUGAGCUCAUACCCUAGCUUGGCGAUGAGCUCGCUAUGGCGGCAACGGAGGGGAGGAUUUCCGUUGACGACAGUGGAGACCAGUGACGGGAGGUUGCUGGCGAUGAGGAGACGAUCCGGAGACCCGAGGUGGCAUAGCAGGACACGCGCAGGCGAAGAGGUUUUGGAGAAAUUUCCAAAUUUUGACCCAUCAGUAUAUAUAUCCUGGCACUGUUGGUGUGACCGAGUGGAACAACUUGGUGGCACCAAGAUGCAGAAUUGCAAGCGGUUACUGCAACUCGGUGAGACCAAAAAGUUCUAAUUGGUUGCAUCGAGAUUGAAAACUUGAUCAACCCAGUGAACUCGGCGUGACCGAAAUGGAUGGAUCAGUCAGACCAAAAUACACAGAGAGGUUUCGGAAGUUUUAAGUCUAUGACAAACCGGGACUCCGAGUGCUCCUCACCCAAAGGGUUUGAAUUUGACUUACACCAAACUUUGUGAUGUAGCAUGAAUAGAGUUUGAGAAGAGAAAAGCAUAGAUAGCUAGAGGGAGUUCUUAGGCAUUCUUGUCCAUCCAUUUGGCAAAAGAAGAAGACCCAAACAAUCAAAGCAACAAAUGGAUGUCCUCGAAUGAGAAAAAUAUGCAACCAACAUGCUCACACAAUAAAAUGGCAAAUGAAAUAUGUGGCAAAGCAUGCACAAUCACUCUAUCAUCUAUCAAGCAAUUGGCGAUGACUAGGUCAUCUAUAUAUGAGUAUAUUGACUUAGGAGUCAAAUGAGAACAUUUGAUCAUAGGUCAUACUCAUCGUUUAGGCACAAGUGGGGUUACCACUUUUAAAUAAAGCAUUGUUGUGUUCACACCAUUAGAGUUGCUUUAGCUCAAUUCUUAGAGUAAAGCUCCCUGCUAUGUCUUGAGCUUGCGUUGGUUUUCCUUGAAGAGGAAAGGGUGAUGCAGCAAUAGUAGCGUAAGUAUUUCCCUCAGUUUUUGAGAACCAAGGUAUCAAUCCAGUAGGAGGCUCCUCAAAAGUCCCACGCACCUACACAAACAAACAAAGAACUCGCAACCAACACAAUAAAGGGGUUGUCAAUCCCUUCACGACCACUUGUGAAAGUGAGAUCUGAUAGAGAUAAUAUGAUAAGAUAAAUAUUUUUUUGGUAUUUUAUAAUAUGGAUGCAAAAAGUAAAGAUGCAAAUAAAAGUAGAUUGAAAGCUUAUAUGAUAAAAGAUAGACCCGGGGGGCCAUAGGUUUCACUAGUGGCUUCUCUCAAGAUAGCAUAAGUAUUACGGUGGGUGAACAAAUUACUGUCGAGCAAUUGAUAGAAAAGCAAAUAAUUAUGAGAUUAUCUAGGCAUGAACAUGUAUAUAGGCAUCACGUCUGCAACAAGUAGACCGACUCCUACCUGCAUCUACUACUAUUACUCCACACAUCGACCGACUCCUGCCUGCAUCUAGAGUAUUAAGUUCAUAAAGAACAGAGUAACGCAUUAAGAAAGAUGACAUGAUAUAGAGGGAUAAACUCAAGCAAUAUGAUAUAAACCCCGUCUUUUUAUCCUCGAUGGCAACAAUACAAUACAUGCCUUGCUUCCUCUGUUGUCACUGGGAAAGGACACCGCAAGAUUGAACCCAAAGCUAAGCACUUCUCCCAUGGCAAGAAAGAUCAAUCUAGUAGGCCAAACCAAACUGAUAAUUCGAAGAGACUUGCAAAGAUAACUCAAUCAUACGUAAAAUAAUUCAGAGGAGAUUCAAAUAUUUCUCAUAGAUAAACUUGAUCAUAAACCCAUAAUUCAUCGGAUCUCGACAAACACACCGCAAAAAGAGUUUACAUCUAAUAGAUCUCCACAAGAGAGGGGGAGAACAUUGUAUUGAGAUCCAAAAAGAGAGAAGAAGCCAUCUAGCUAAUAACUAUGGACCCGAAGGUCUAUGGUAAACUACUCACAACUCAUCGGAGGGGCUAUGGUAUUGAUGUAGAAGUCCUCCGUAGUCGAUUCCCCCUCCGACGGAGCGCCGGUGAAGGCUCCAAGAUGGGAUCUCGCGGAUACAGAAGGUUUCGGUGGUGGAAAUUGUGUUUCGUUGGCUCCCUGGAUGUUUUCGGGGUACGUAGGUAUAUAUAGGAGGAAGAAGUACGUCGGUGGGCGCGCCCUCCAGUCUCCUGGCCGCCUCGCAAGCUUCUUGACUUGCACUCCAAGUUCUCCGGAUCACGUUCGUUCCAAAAAUCACGCUCCCGAAGGUUUCAUUCCGUUUGGACUCCGUUUGAUAUUCCUUUUCUUUGAAAUACUGAAAUAGGCAAAAAAACAGCAAUACGGGCUGGGCCUCCGGUUAGUAGGUUAGUCCCAAAAAUGAUAUAAAUGUGUAAAAUAAAGCCCAUAAAAUCCAAAAGGGGUAAUAUAAUAGCAUGGAACAAUAAAAAAUUAUAGAUACGUUGGAGACGUAUCAAGCAUCCCCAAGCUUAAUUCCUGGUCGUCCUCUAGUAGGUAAAUGAUAAAAACAGAAUUUUUGAUGUGGAAUGCUACCUAGCAUAAUUCUCAAUGUAAUUUUCUUUAUUGUGGCAUGAUUGUUCAGAUCCAAAUGAUUCAAGAUAAAAGCUUAUAAAACAUAAAAAAUAAUAAUGCUUCGAAGCAUACUAACAAAUAAUCAUGUCCUAUCAAAAUAGCAUAGCCAAAGAAAGCUUGUCCCUACAAAAUCAUAUAGUUAGGCCAUGCUUCAUUUUCAUUACACAAAAUACUCCCAUCAUGCACAACCCCGGUUUUAACCAAGCAAUUGGUUCAUACUUUUUAACGCGCUUCAGCUUUUUCAACUCUUAUGCAAUACAUGAGCGCAAGCCAUGGACAUAGCACUAUGGUGGUAUAAGGUGGUGGUUGUGAGGACAAAAAGAGGGAGAAGAUAGUCUCACAUCAACUAGGCGUAUCAACGGGCUAUGGAGAUACCCAUCAAUAGAUAUCAAUGUGAGUGAGUAGGGAUUGCCAUGCAACAGAUGCACUACAGCUAUAAAUAUAUGAAAGCUCAACAAAAGAAACUAAGUGGGUGUGCAUCCAACUCGCUUGCUCACGAAGACCUAGGGCAUUUUGAGGAAGCCCAUCAUUGGAAUAUACAAGCCAAGUUCUAUAAUGAAAAAUUCCCACUUAGUAUAUGAAAGUGACAACAUAGGAGACUCUCUAUCAUGAAGAUCAUGGUGCUACUUUGAAGCACAAGUAUGGAAAAAGAUAGUAGCAUUGUCCCUUCUCUCUUUUUCUCUCAUUUUAUUUUUUUCUUUUAUUCUUUUUCUUUUCUUCCUUUUUUUCUUUUUGGCCUUUCUUUUUUUUUGCCCUUCUUUUUUUUCUCUUUCUUUUUUAUUCUUUUUGUAAAGUCCGAAGUCUCAUCCUCACUUGUGGGGGAAUCAUAGUCUUCAUCAUCCUUUCCUCAUUGAGACAAUGCUCUAAUAAUGAAGAUCAUCACACUUUUAUUGAUUUACAACUCAACAAUUACAACUCAAAGCUAGAACAAGACAUGACUCUAUAUGAAUGCCUCCGGCAGUGUACCGGGAUAUACAGUGAAUCAAGAGCGACAUGUAUGAAAAUUAUGAAGAUGACCUUGCCACAAAUACGAUGUCAACUACAUGAUCAUGCAAAGAGCAAUAUGGCAAUGAUGGAACGUGUCAUAAUAAACGGAACGGUGGAAAGUUGCAUGGCAAUAUAUCUCGGAAUGGCUAUGGAAAUGCCAUAAUAGGUAGGUAUGGUGGCUGUUUUGAGGAAGGUAAAUAAUGGGUGCAUGAUACAGGCGAAAGUUGCGCGGUAUAAUAGAGGCUAGCAAAGUGGAAGGAUGUGUGUGCGUAUAUCCAUGGACUCACAUUAGUCAUAAAGAACUCAUAUAGUUAUUGCAAAACUCUACUUGCCCUCGAAGCAAAGUACUACUAUGCAUGCUCCUAGGGGAAGGGUUGGUAGGAGUUAACCAUCGCGCGAUCCCGACCUCCACUCAUAAGGAAGACAAUCAAAAGAGCACCUCAUGCAACAAAUUUGUCACAAAACUUUUACCAUUCGUGCGGGACUUGCCAACUUCAACACAAGUAUUUCUCAAUUUCAUAAUUACCCACUAGCAUGACUCUAACAUUACUACCUCUAUAUCUCAAAAUAAUUAUCAAGCAUCAAAUUGAUCCUAGUGUUUUAUGCAUUUUCUAUGAUAGUUUUUAUUAUAUCCAACUUGGAUGCCCAUCAUUCUAGGACCAAAUUUGUAACCAUAGCAAAUACCAUGCUGUUCUAAAAGACUCUCGAAAUAAUAUAAGUGAAGCAUGAGAGAGACGAGCAAUUUCUUCAAAAUUAAGCCACCGCCGUGCCCUAAAAGAUAUAAGUGAAGCACUAGAGCAAAAACUAUCAAGCUCAAAAGAUCUAAGUGAAACACAUAGAGUGUUCUAGCAAAUUCUAAUCAAGUGGGAUUCUCCCAAAAGGUGUGUACAGCAAGGAUGAUUGUGGUAAACUAAAAAGCAAAGACUAAUAUAAUACACGACGCUCCAAGCAAAACACAUAUCAUGUGGCGAAUAAAAAUAUAGCUCCAAGUAAAGUUACCAAUGCACGAAGACGAAAGAGGGGAUGCCUUCCCGGGGCAUCCCCAAGCUUAGGCUUUUGGUUAUUCUUAAAUAUCUUGGGAUGCCUUGGGCAUCCCCAAGCUUAGGCUCUUUCCACUCCUUAUUCCAUAGUCCAUCAAAGCCUUACCCAAAACUUGAAAACUUCACAACACAAAACUCAACAGGAAAUCUUAUAAGCUCCGUUAGUGAAAGAAAACAAAACCACCACAUAAGGUACUGUAAUGAACUCAUUCUUUAUUUAUUUUGGUGUUAAACCUACUGUAUUCCAACUUCUAUAUGGUUUAUAAACUAUUUUACUAGCCAUAGAUGCAUCAAAAUAAGCAAACAACACACGAAAAACAGAAUCUAUCAAAAACAGAAUAGUCUGUAGCAAUCUGUAACUAACGCAAACUUAUGGAACUCUAAAAAUCCUACCAAAAUAGGAAGUCCUGUACAAUGUGUCUAUUGGUCAGCAUCAAAAAGAAUCAACGCAAAAUCACGUUCCUGUGAUUUAACAAAACUAAAUCCGUGAGCGUAAAGUUUCUGUUUUUCAGCAGAAUCAAAUCAACUAUCAUCAUAGGUUAUCCUAUAGGUUCUACUUGGCACAAACACUAAUUUAAACAUAAAAACACAUCUAAACAGAAGGUAGAUGCAAAAUUUAUUGAAUAACAGCAAGGAAAAAUAUUGGUUGUCUCCCAACAAGCGCUUUUCUUUAAAGCCUUUUUAGCUAGGCAUUGAGAUUUCAAUGAUGCUCACAUGAAAGACAAGAAUUGAAGCAUAAAGGGAGCAUCAUAAAACAUGUGAUAAACACAUCUAAGUCUAACAUAAUUCCUAUGCAUAGGCAUUUUAUAAGCAAACAAAUUACCAUAGCAAGUAAAAUUUAGCAUAUGCAAGGAAGUGGAAAGAAAGAAUAGCAAUCUCAACAUAACGAGAGGUAAUUUUGUAACAUGAAAAUUUUUACAACCAUAUUUUCCUCUAUCAUAAUAAUUGCAUGUAGGGUCAUAAGCAAAUUUAACAAAAUAACUAUCACAUAAAAUAUUUUCAGCACGAUCCACAUGCAUGCGAAGUUGACACUCUUCCAAAAUAGUGGGAUUAACGUUAACUAAAGUCAUGACCUCUCCAAACCCACUUUUAUCAAAAAUACCAUAAGAUUGAAUAUUCUCCAAAUAUGUGGGAUCUAAAGUUGACACUCUUCAAACCCACUUUCAAUAUUAUUGCAAACACUAUUAUCAAUCUUAUAUUCAUCAUGGGGCUUAAAUAAAUUUUCAAGAUCAUAAGAAGAACUCCAAUCAUGAUCAUUGCAACAAGUAGUAGACAUAGCAAAACUAGCAUCCCCAAGCUUAGGGUUUUGCAUAUUAUUGGCACAAUUUACAUCAAGAGAAUUUAUAGUGAAAUCAUUACAAUCAUGCUUUUUAUUCAAAGAUCUAUCGUGAAUCACUUCAUAAAGUUCUUCAUCACAAUUUUCAAAUUCACGAAUUUCAAGCAAAACUUCAUAAAGAUAAUCUAGUGCACUCAACUCACUAGCAAUAGGUUCAACAUAAUUGGAUCUCUUAAAGAGAUUAUCAAGAGGAUGAGGAUCCAUAGAUCUUAGCUUCUCUAUUUAGUAAUAAAUAAAGAACUACUCCAACCAAACGAGCAAACGAGCCAAGUAGGACAUCAAAAAAAAUGAAAAGACAAACAGAAGAAGGGCGAAUAAAACGGCAAGGGUGAAGUGGGGAGAGGAAAACGAGAGGCAAAUGGAAAAUAAUGUAAAUAGGAGGGAGAUGAGUUUGUGAUGGGUACUUGGUAUGUCUAGACUUGAGCGAAGACCUCCCCGGCAACGGCGCCAGAAAUCCUUCUUGCUACGUCUUGAGCUUGCGUUGGUUUUCCUUGAAGAGGAAAGGGUGAUGCAGCAAUAGUAGCGUAAGUAUUUCCCUUAGUUUUUGAGAACCAAGGUAUCAAUCCAGUAGGAGGCUCCUCAAAAGUCCCACGCACCUACACAAACAAACAAAUAACUCGCAACCAACGCAAUAAAGGGGUUGUCAAUCCCUUCACGGCCGCUUGCGAAAGUGAGAUCUGAUAGAGAUAAUAUGAUAAGAUAAAUAUAUUUUUGGUAUUUUAUAAUAUAGAUGCAAAAAGUAAAGAUGCAAAUAAAAGUAGAUUGAAAGCUUAUAUGAUAAAAGAUAGACCCCGGGGGGCCAUAGGUUUCACUAGUGACUUCUCUCAAGAUAGCAUAAGUAUUACGGUGGGUGAACAAAUUAAUGUCGAGCAAUUGAUAGAAAAGCGAAUAAUUAUGAGAUUAUCUAGGCAUGAUCAUGUAUAUAGGCAUCACGUCCGCAACAAGUAGACCGACUCCUGCCUGCAUCUACUACUAUUACUCCACACAUCGACCGACUCAUGCCUGCAUCUAGAGUAUUAAGUUCAUAAAGAACAGAGUAACGCAUUAAGAAAGAUGACAUGAUGUAGAGGGAUAAACUCAAGCAAUAUGAUAUAAACCCCAUCUUUUUAUCCUCGAUGGCAACAAUACAAUACGUUCCUUGCUGCCCCUGGUGUCACUGGGAAAGGACACUGCAAGAUUGAACCCAAAGCUAAGCACUUCUCCCAUGGCAAGAAAGAUCAAUCUAGUAGGCCAAACCAAACUGAUAAUUCAAAGAGACUUGCAAAGAUAACUCAAUCAUACAUAAAAGAAUUCAGAGGAGAUUCAAAUAUUUCUCAUAGAUACACUUGAUCAUAAACCCACAAUUCAUCGGAUCUCGACAAACACACCGCAAAAAGAGUUUACAUCUAAUAGAUCUCCACAAGAGAGGGGGAGAACAUUGUAUUGAGAUCCAAAAAGAGAGAAGAAGCCAUCUAGCUAAUAACUAUGGACCCGAAGGUCUAUGGUAAACUACUCACAACUCAUCGGAGGGGCUAUGGUGUUGAUGUAGAAGCCCUCCAUGGUCGAUUCCCCCUCCGGCGGAGCGCUGGCGAAGGCUCCAAGAUGGGAUCUCGCAGAUACAGAAGGUUACGGUGGUGGAAAUUGUGUUUCGUUGGCUCCCUGGAUGUUUUCGGGGUAUGUAGGUAUAUAUAGGAGGAAAAAGUACGUCGGUGGCCGCCUAUGGGGCCCAGGAGAUAGGGGCGCGCCCAGAGGAGGUGGGAGCGCCCUCCUGUCUCCUGGCCACCUCGCAAGCUUCUUGACUCGCACUCCAAGUUCUCCGGAUCACGUUCGUUCCAAAAAUCACGCUCCCAAAGGUUUCAUUCCGUUUGGACUCCGUUUGAUCCUUUUCUUCAAAAUACUGAAAUAGGCAAAAAAAACAGCAAUACGGGUUGGGCCUCCGAUUAGUAGGUUAGUCCCAAAAAUGAUAUAAAUGUGUAAAAUAAAGCCCAUAAGCAUCCAAAAGGGGUAAUAUAAUAGCAUGGAACAAUAAAAAAUUAUAGAUAUGUUGGAGACGUAUCACUCCCCCUAGAUGUGAUAUCCCCCCUAAGAGGGAUGAACUAACCUUGGGUUUUCUCGAUGAUGACUUCAUGUAGAUGUUGAAGAUGUGGAUGCUCAUUGUUGAUGUAGAUCAUUUGAAGCAAUCCAUUGGAGUGAGUUGCACUUUCAAUACCUAUAUGGGUUAGUCCCACAAGGAACAAACAAGGAUAUCCAUAACAUAGAGUGUAGCACGCACAUGAUGAUGUCCAUGAAAACAUUAGAUUACCUUGUCCCUUAUCUUACCAACAAGAGGGUUUGUGACUCCUUGAACUAGUGCAAGAUGUGGAAGUUGUUUGCACUUGUCCUUGCCAAAAUAAAUAUGAGUGAAGUAUGCUGGCGGAGUCACCCUCAAGAACUCUCUAGUUCUUCUUCUUUGGGAUCCACAUCAUCUUGAUGGGAAUCCUUGGAGUUGUAGAAGUACUUGAUGAAGUAGAACUUGAUGUAGUAUUGGAAACCCACUUGACCAAGGCCUUUCGAGCAUCUUCAAAUGCAUAAAUCUCCUCUUGAAGCUUGUCCUUGCCUUUUAGCUUGUGGUCUUGUGGUGGAAGAUCAUCUUGAGAUUGUGUCCUCUUGAAGGAAGUAGGAUCAUACUUCUCUUGUUAAGGAACAAACUUCGUCUUGGGGUAUUGAUCUUAUUCCCACUCAACUCCAUUGGCAUUAAACUUUCGUUCAAAACCAACACCUUGAUUCUUCCGGUGCCUUCCUUGCUUGCGUACAAUUUCCUCAAAUUGCUUACUUCCGGCAAGGCUCUUGUAAACACCUUUCUCUAUAAUUCCCUUCAAUAAGCUAUUUUCUUGCUCAAGUGUAACUUGGCUAAGAGAAUCAUUAGUGGAAUCAAGAGAACUACUAGAAGCAACAAUAUUAGAUUUAGCAUGAUUAUUGUUACUACUAAAGGAAGAGCCUUUCUUGUUCUUGUUGCUAGAUUUUACUUGUGGCAUGUAAGUAGACAAGAGUAAAUGCUUGGCAAUGUAAGAAGAACUUUUCUUCCAAAGAUCAUCAUUGAUGGCUUUUAAGAACCCAUGUUCUUGCUCAAGGUUGAGCUUUUCGAAGCGUAACUUCUCAUGAGUUUUCAAAAGCUCUCGAUGAUCUUCUAAAGUAGUUUCAUGAGCUAACAUAAGAGUGUUUAGUUCUUUAGUUAGAUGCUCACUCUCCUUCUUAUCAUCGUCAUUCGUUUCAUCUUGCUUAGCAUGAUUAAUAGUAUUUUCAUCAUAGUAUUCAUCACUAGAGUUGUCAACAAGUAAAUCAUCAUCACCUAGCAAGUCAUCUUCAUCACUAUUGAAAUCAACAUACUCGGGGUGUGUUACCUUGGGGCCUUUAGCCAUGAAUCAUCUCCCAAUCCCUUCAUUUGGUGAAUCGAAUAUGUCAUAGGAGUUGAUUGACACAAGUGCUAGACCGGCAACACCUUCAUCUUGAGUAUAUUCGGAGUCGGAGUGAUAACUUCUCUCGGAGUGGUGGUCGGAGUCGGAGCUGGAUACCCAUUCACCAACAUGAGCUUGAUGUAUUCGUUUUGUGUAGCUCCUUGAUGACUUGUCCUUCCUUUUCGAAUCCUUGCUUCUUCGAGAGGUUCUUCGUUCAUAACGAUCAUCUCUACUCCUUCUCUCUCUUGGAGGUGAUUCUUCCCUUUUGCUUCUCCUUUUAGGUGAGUCUUCUCUACUUUCGUAGGGAGCCGUACACUCAUUGGAGUAGUGCUCGGGUCUUUCACAAUUGUAGCAAUUUUGCUCACGACUAGAAGAUCUUUUGUCAUUGUAUGACCUUGACUUGGAUUUCUUUCCUUGCUUCUACUAUUGUAGAAUUUGUUGAAGUUCUUCACCAUUAAGCUCAAUUAUUCAUUGAAGGCUUGUUUCUCAUUUGAUGAUGUAGGAGCAUCACAUGAGGCUUUGUAAGCACCACUAGACUUGUUGUGAAGCUCUUCUUUGUCCUUGAGUGACAUCUCAUGAGCAACAAUUCUUCCAAUGACUUCGGUUGGCUUGAGAUCUUUGUAGUUUGGCAUCAUUAGGAUCAAAGUGCACACGGUAUCAUAUUUUCCAUCGAAGGCUCUCAAGAUCAUUUUGAUGAUGAACUUGUCGGUCAUCUCUUCACUUCCUAAGCCGACAAUCUCAUUUGUGAUGAGAGCAAGCCUAGAGUAUAUUUCAACGACACCUUCACCAUCCUUCAUUUUGAACUUCUCAAGUUGACUUUGAAGCACAUCCAAAUUGGAUUCCUUGACGGAGUCGGUACCUUCGUGCAUAUCAAUCAAAGUAUCCCAAAUUUCCUUUGCAUUCUCAAGACGACUGAUUUUGUUGAAUUCUUCGGGGCACAGUCCGUUUAAGAGGAUAUCGCAAGCUUGAGCGUUGUAUUGCAACAUCUUCAAUUCCUCCGCGGUAGCUUCACGAUUUGGUUCUCUCCCAUCAAAGAAUUCACCUUGCAAACCAAUACACACAAUAGCCCAAACGGCGGGAUUAUGUCCAAGAAUAUGCAUUUUCAUCUUAUGUUUCCAACUAGCAAAAUUAGUACCAUCAAAGUAAGGACCUCUACGGUGGUAAUUUCCCUCGCUAGACUCCAUACUCUCCUAGGUUGUGAAACCAAGGCUAUGAUCACCAAAGCUAUGGAAAUCAAGGAAAAUGGAGACCAAAGCUCUGAUACCACUUGUAGGAUCGAAAGUAUGUCUAGAGGGGGGGUGAUUAGACUACUUGACCAAAUAAAAACUUAACCUUUUCCCAAUUUUAGUUCUUGUCAGAUUUUAGCAACUUACCACAAGUCAAGCAAUCUUAACACAAUUCAAGCAAGCAUGCAAAGAGUAUAUGGGCAGCGGAAAGUAAAGCAUGCAACUUGCAAGAAAGUAAAUGAGAGGAGUUUGGAGGGAGCAAACGCAAUGUUGACACGGAGAUUUUUGGCGUGGUUCCGAUAGGUGGUGCUAUCGUACAUCCACGUUGAUGGAGACUGAGGGAGUCCUGGAUUAGGGGGUCCUCGGACAGCCGGACUAUGUACUUAUGCCGGAUUGUUUGACUAUGAAGAUACGAGAUUGAAGACUUCAUCCCGUGUCCAGGUGGGACUCUCCUUUGCGUGGAAGGCAAGCUUGGCAAUUCGGAUAUGUAGAUUUGCUUCUCUGUAACUGACUCUGUGUAACCCUAGCCCCCUCCGGUGUCUAUAUAAACCGGAGGGUUUAGUCCGUAGGACAAAAACAAUCAUAAUCAUAGGUUAGCUUCUAGGGUUUAGCCUCUAUGAUUUCAUGGUAGAUAAGCUCUUGUAAUACUCAUAUCAUCAAGAUCAAUCAAGCAGGAAGUAGGGUAUUACCUCCAUAGAGAGGGCCCGAACCUGGGUAAACAUUGUGUCCCCAUGUUACCAUUAGCCUUAGAUGCAUAGUUCGGGACCCCCUACCCGAGAUCCGCCGGUUUUGACACCGACAUUGGUGCUUUCAUUGAGAGUUCCACUGUGUCGUCAUGGUAAGGCUUGAUGGCUCCUUCAAUCAUCCACAAUGAUGCGAUCCAGGGUGAGGUUUUCCUCCCCGGACAGAUCUUCGUAUUCGGUGGCUUCGCACUGCAGGCCAACUCGCUUGGCCAUCUGGAGCAGAUUGAUAGCUACGCCCCUGGUCAUCAGGUCAGGUUUGGAAGCCUGAACUACACUGCCGACAUCCGCGGAGACUUGAUCUUCGACGGAUUCGAGCCCAUGAUAGGUGCGCCGUACAGUCAGGAUGAGCAUGACUUAGAUCUGCCAUUGGACGAUGUUCAGGAGAACGCACCUAUAGCUGCCCUGGCUUUAAAUCCGGAGCAGAUCAUGCAUCCGAGGACGGGUGGAUGGACCCCGCCACGGAGGCCGCACACUCAGAGGCGAUAGAGCCGAACACAGAUCCCACUCCUAAGGAGAUCUGUGUCUUUGAACCCUCGGACUCGUCUCCGACCAGGGGCUCCGAACCGCAUGCAUCCGUGCCCAUCGGACCUGACUGGGCACCGGUCAUGGAGUUUAGCUCCGCGGAUAUCUUUCAGCACUCGUCCUUGGGCGACGUGCUAAAUUCAUUAAAAUCUCUCUCCCUGUCAGGAGACUCUUGGCUGAACUAUGUCCGUCUUGAGUGGGAAGCGGACGACGAGGAAAUUCGUUCCCCACCCACCACCCAAUUAAUAGCCACUGUCGACGACUUAACCGACAUGCUUGAUUUUGACUCCGAAGACAUCGACAGUAUGGACGACGAUGCCGGAGAAGAACAGGAACCACCGCCCAAAGGGCGCUGGACAGCCACCUCAUCAUAUGAUAUAUAUAUAUAUAUAUAUAUAUAUGGUGGACACACCAAAAGAAAGUAAUGGCGAUGAAGCAACGGAGGAUAAUCCCCUUGAGAAGCAAUCUAAGCGUCGGCGUCAGCGGUGCCGCUCUAAGCCCCGUCAUAGCAAAAAUAGCGAUACCGGCACAAGAGACAAUAGCACUCCGGAUGAUGCCGAAGAUGAAAACAAUCCCGUCUAGCCAAGCUUCGAGCAAGCCGGACGGGAGGAUGGGCAAGCUAGCCCUGAAAAACAGGCAAUGGAUGGAGACUCAGAGGAUGACAAUUACAUGCCCCUCUCCGAAGACGAGGUGAGCCUCGGCGAUGAAGAAUUUAUCGUGCCUGAGGAUCCCGUCGAGCAGGAGUGCUUCAAGCACCGGCUUAUAGCUACUGCAAAAAGCCUGAAGAAAAAGUAGCAGCAGCUCCAAGCUGAUCAAGAUAUGCUAACUGAUAGAUGGACUAAGGUCCUGGCAGCCGAGGAAUGCAGACUCGAGCGCCCAACCAAAAGUUACCCAAAGCGCAGGUUGUUACCUCAAUUCGAGGAGGAGGCACUAGAGCCUACACUACCAAUGCAGGAUGCGGCUGACCGGCCACCCCAUGGCCGAGACAAAGCGGCGUAUCAGCCCAAACACUAGCCCGCACCCCGUCGCCAAAUAAACAAAAACACGAAGGCCCGGGGCUAGACGCAUGACCUGCAAGACGAAUUGGAAAACAAUGCAGGACAGUCAAUAUCGAUCUACGGAUCACGGAGGCAUGCCCCAACGCGUGACGAUGACCGCCAUGCCGGAUAUACUAAAUACAAAUUCGGCCGGGCCGAAUACAAUAGACCAGACUCAGUUGAACUGCGUCGUGAUGUAGCCCAGCAUAGAGGCGCCGCACACCCCCUAUGCUUCACUACAGACCCUGCGGUAUGGAUAGAAGAUUUCCUUCUCCAAAUUCACAUGGCCUGCGGGGAUGAUCUACAUGUCAAGUACCUCCCACUAAAACUCAAGGGACCGACUCGGCAUUGGCUGAAUAGUUUGCCGGCAAACUCCAUUGGAAGUUGGGGGAACCUGGAAGACGCAUUCCUAGAUAACUUUCAGGGCACUUAUGUGCGACCACCGGAUGCUGAUGAUUUAAGUCACAUAACCCAAAAGCCCGGAGAGUCCACCAGGAAAUUCUGGACUCGGUUCCUAACAAAAAAGAACCAAAUUGUCGACUGUCCGGAUGCCGAAGCCCUAGCAGCCUUUAAGCAUAACAUCCGUGACGAGUGGCUUGCCCAACACCUCGGCCAAGAGAAGCCGAAGUCCAUGGCAGCCCUCACGACACUCAUGACCCGCUUUUGUGCGGGCGAGGAUAGUUGGCUGGCUCGCAGCAAUAGCACAUCAAGAAAUCCUGCCACCUCAUAUGCCAGAGAUAGCAACGGCAAGCCCCGAUGCAACAGACACAAGCGUCACAACAAUGGCGAUAACGCCGAAGACACGCCCGUCAAUGCCGGAUUCAGUGGCUCUAAGUCCGGCCAGCGGAAAAAAUCAUUCAAAAGAAACAAUCCGGGUCCGUCCAGUCUGGACCGCAUACUCGAUCGCUCAUGUCAAAUUCACGGCACCCCCGAUAAACCAGCCAACCACACCAACAGAGAAUGUUGGGUGUUCAAAUAGGUCGGCAAGUUGAAUGCUGAAAACAAGGAAAAAGGGCCGCAUAGUGAUGAUGACGAGGAGCCCCGGCUGCUGAACACAGGAGGACAGAAGAAAUUUCCUCCCCAAGUAAAAAGGGUAAAUAUGAUAUACACAACCCAUAUUCCCAAGUGGGAACGGAAGCGUGCACUAAGGGACGUCUACGCGAUGGAGCCAGUCACCCCAAAGUUCAACCCGUGGUCUUCUUGUCUGAUCACUUUCGAUCGCAGGGACCAUCCGACCAGUAUCAGUCAUGGAGGUUCGGUCGCGUUGGUCCUUGACCCCAUCAUUGACAGAUUCCACCUCACAUGAGUCCUUAUGGACGGUGGCAGCAUCCUGAACCUGCUCUAUCAGGACACAGUGUGCAAAAUGGGCAUCGAUCCCUCAAGGAUCAAACCCACCAAAACCACCUUUAAAGGUGUCAUACCAGGUGUAGAGGCAUGUUAAACGGGCUCAAUCACACUGCAAGUAGUCUUCGGAUCUCCAGACAACUUCCAAAGUGAGGAUUUAAUCUUUGAUAUCGUCCCCUUCCGCAAUGGCUAUCACGCACUGCUCGGACGAACCACAUUUGCCAGAUUCAAUGUAGUACCACAUUAUGCAUACCUCAAGCUCAAAAUGCCAGGACCUCGCGGGGUUAUAAUAGUCAAUGGAAACACAGAGCGCUCCCUCCGUACAGAGGAGCACACUACGGCCCUCGCGGCAGAAGUAUAGAGCAUCCUUCUUAGGCAGACCUCCAAUUCGGCAAUAAAACCCCAGGACACCGCCAAGCGAGUCUGAAGUACUCUGCAACGGGAUCAUCCGGCACGUCCAGAGCUCGCCUAGCAAUUCGGCCUCCAUCCAAUUCCCAGUCAAGCGGUGACAUUUUUGUCGCGCGUACAUAAUUACGCACUUAAAAUACCAUGGGCAUAGACAGAGGCACAGCUAGAAUGCGGUACACAAUGCGGCUCAGCCGCCCAGGAUCCGUAUACCUUCAUCCCUUUUCUUUCUUUCAGGUCCCUAUUUUUUGGAGGCUCUUCCGAUAGCCUAAUUAUCGGACCCAUCACAGGACGGAAACACCAAGGAGGCAAGGAGCUUUGACGUACAAGGGAAUCCCCAGGCGGUCUCUGAUAAUGAUCACUAUACCUGUUUUACAUACCCACACGCAGCUCGCUCUUGGUUAAGGACAUGUCAAAUAGUCCUAUUUUGCUUAUCGCACUACUUGUAUACAUACGCCUUGACGUAUUAUUCAAAUAACAAUGGAAAAUAACAUACAGCGUCAGCUUAUUAUUACAUUUCUUUAUAUUUUUCCUUGACUUUUUAUUUAUUACAAAUUGCACCCGUACAUUUUGGUACGUUCAGCUUGCCAGGGGCUUCAGUGUACCCCAUAACACGGCAAGAAAAGUCCGAACACUUUCGAUAUUGUGGCACCUCGAACUUAUAGCAUUAUAUGCAUCAGCUCUGAAUCAUGUCUUGGGUCAAUAGUUGGGUUUGCCCGGCUCCCAUGUUUUGCUGCCUUACGUUCCGCUACAUCAGCUAAGGUGGCACAGGGAGAACUACUGCGAUUGUGUCCCAGUUCUUCCGGACGAGAACCUCAGUAGAGAAAGCCGAAAACUGACUGUCAUGAUGCGGCGAGAGCUGGUCGUUGUUCGAGAGGUCUCAAAUCCUUAAAGAUUUUUCCUCUUUGGGCGAGGAAUCGGCCUUUGUCCGAUUUAGGCGUGUAUAGCGCCCCAAGUUCGGCCUUUCGAAUACCAGGGGCUACGCCAAAAUUUAAAAUUAUAGGAAUUCUAUGGCUAAGAGAGUGAUAAAGUUGUAUAGUCCGAUUGCCUUGUUCGUUGCACUAAACACCUCCUUAAAGGACCAAAAAUUUGGAUAAAGAGUGUUUAGAUUUAUCCCGAACACCCCAGUACUAGUUACAUGGGGGCAGAAGCCGACGACUGGAAACUCUCAGAUUUUAUAAACGGCCGCAUAGAAGGUAAAAUUUUAAAUCAACAAGUGUUAUAUUGUGCAAAAGAACUUGUUUCAUAUUACAGGAUAAAAUGAGUGUAUUCACUCAUAGAUUACAUCCUUCGCACAUUGCUCCGCCACAAGGCGGGAGCCCUUGAGGACACUAUCAUAAUACUUUUCAGGGUGGCGAUGCUCCUUGCCCUUCGGCGGCCCUUCGGUCAUCAGCUUCUCAGCAUCCAUCUUCGCCUAGUGCACUUUUGCGCGGGCGAAGGCCAUUCGCGCACCUUCAAUGCAAACUGACUGCUUUAUAACUUCAAGCCACGGACAUGCACUUACAAGCCUCUUUACUAGGCCGAAGUAGCUGUUGGGCAGGGGCUCGGCAGGCCACAACCGGACUAUGAGGUCCUUCAUGGCCAAUUCAGCCGCCUUGUGCAGUUCGACCAGUUUCUUCAGCUGGUAGCUCAAGGGCAUCGGAUGUUUGGUCCCAAUAUACUGAGACCAGAACAACUUCUCCGUCGAGCUCCCUUCUUUAGCUCGGUAGAACUCUGCGGCAUCAGAUAUGCUGUGCGGCAGAUCUGCGAAUGCUCCUGGAGAGCUCCAAAUUCGGGUAAGUAAAAGGAAAGUCUCCUUCACAUGCUUGCUUUGCAUAAUGAAUGCCUUACCCGCCGCAAUCUUCUUGGCUGCUUGAAUCUCCUGGAGGUCCUUCUGGGCUUCGGCCUUGGCGUCUCGUGCGCUCUGGAGGGCCUUCGCAAGCUCGGACUCUUGCGUCUUAGAGUCACGCUCCAAGGACUCGUAUUUUCGAACAAAAUCCUGGAGCUCUUGCUGGACCUCGUCGACUCGGGCCUCUUGCUUCUCGCGCUCGGCGCGCUCCUUGGCCGCUUUGUCUUCGGCCUCGGUUAGCGCCGUCUUAAGGGCCGCCACUUCGGUCGUGGCCCCUAGUAAAGUUCAUGACGCUUUCAUCAGCAGAAACCAUUUUUCCUUUCUAAAUAUACAGACAGGGUAUUGUGUACCUUUGUUUUCCUCGAGCUACCUCUUCACGAGGCCGAGCUCUCCCUCGGUCCGCUCCAGGUCCCGCUUCAGUCCGGAGACCUCCGCAGUAUGAGCGGUAGCGGCAAGCAGCAACGCCUGCUUAUUCACAUAGACAUCUUUUGUUAGACUCCUGCGGAUGUUAUUUUAUCCUCCGUUUGGCCUUUCUUUCCGAACACCAAACAAAGCAUCAGGGGCUCUAUACUAUGAUAUUUUCUCACAAUUUUGUUACUUACCUCAAAUCCUGUUAGGAGGCUGGUGCAGGCUUCGAUCAAUCCGCUUUUGGCGGACCGGACCUUCUCAAUCAUCGCACUCAUAAGAGUACGGUGUUCUUCAUCAAUGGAAGCGCCGCGAAGCGCUUCCAGCAAGUUAUCCGAUGCCUCUGGAUGGACAGAGGUCAUCGGUACAGGCGGCUCGCCCUCCUUAGAGAGAGGUUGCCUGCCUGAAUCCGGAACCACUUGGGUUUCCGGAGCCGCAUUUGGCUGGGGGCCAGACUUGCUGCGGCCCCCGUUACCGGAAUCCAUGGGGGUCUUCCCUCCCAUGUUCCUGGCGAUUGGGAUUUCGCCUGGGGGCGUCUCCAGAACUGUCUCCCCCUAGUCCAGUAUCCUCUGAGACAACACCUCAGUGUCGUCCGCGGGCCUGGGAUAGGAGGCUGUCCGGAGUGAAUCAUUGUUCAUCACCGACGGGCCCAGGAACCCCUCCGAAGAGGAUACCUCGAUGUGGGAUUUGGCCGGACUGCACAUGCAUGUUUGGCAUGAUAAGAAGCAAUAAAGCAAAACAUGUUGGGAGUAUUAAAGUGUCCGGAUGCUUACAACUUAGCCAGGGGCUUGUCCCUGGGCAGCCACUCCUCGCCGCUGUAGGUGGUCGGGGUGGAGUGGUNNNNNNNNNNNNNNNNNNNNNNNNNNNNNNNNNNNNNNNNNNNNNNNNNNNNNNNNNNNNNNNNNNNNNNNNNNNNNNNNNNNNNNNNNNNNNNNNNNNNNNNNNNNNNNNNNNNNNNNNNNNNNNNNNNNNNNNNNNNNNNNNNNNNNNNNNNNNNNNNNNNNNNNNNNNNNNNNNNNNCCCCUCCCGGUUGGGGGGGGGGGAGGGAUUUCUUCUUCCUCCUCCUCAUCUUUGUUGGAGGAGUGCGGCUCGGUGUCUUCGGACGUCACGUCCGAUACAACCUUGCGCCGGAGACCUUUCCUGGUGCCCGUGGCCUUCUUCUCCGGCACCUCAUGGGGCGCCGGAAACAACAUCUUCGUUAGAAGAGACGAUGUUGGAUCUUCAGGUAGCGGAGCCGGACAGUCAAUCCACUCCGCUAUCGCUACCCAGUCCUGUUAAAUUGGCAUGGAGGCUUAGAUUCCUCCCACGAAUAUGCUGGGGAAAGGCACAUCUUGCAAAAUAUAAAAAACUUACCGGAUUGGCGGGGCGCUUUGCACUGAGUCCGCGAUCUUCGGUUAUGGGCGGUGGUACCUUGGUGGGCUUGAACAGCACCUUCCAGACGUCUUCGUGCAUCGUGUCGAAGAGCUCUCGCAGCGUCUGGUGUUCGGCCGGGUCAAACUCCCACAUAUUGUAAGCCCGUCUCUGACACGGAAGGAUCCGGCGGAUGAGCAUGACCUAGACCACAUUGACAAGCUUGAUUUUCUUGCCUAUCAUAUUUUGGACGCAGGUCUAAAGUCCGGUUAGCUCCACCGAUGAGCCCCAGGCUAAUCCCUUCUCUUUCUAGGAGGUGAGCCGCAUGGGGAUGUCGGAUCGAAAUUCGGGGGUCGCCUCCCAGUUGGUGUCACGCGGCUUGGUGAUGUAGAACCACCCCGAUUGCCACCCCUUCACGGUCUCCACGAAGGAGCCUUCGGGCCAGGUGACAUUGGGCAUCUUGCCCACCAUGGCGCCUCCGCACUUCGCUUGCUGGCCAACCACCACCUUUGGCUUCACGUUGAAGGUCUUCAGCCAUAGGCCGAAGUGGGGCGUAGUGCGGAGGAAGGCCUCACACACGAUGAUAAACACCGAGAUGUUGAGGAUAAAAUUCGGGGCUAGAUCAUGGAAGUCCAGCCCGUAGUAGAACAUAAGUCCGCGGACGAAUGGGUGUAGGGAGAAUCCCAGUCCGCGGACGAAGUGAGAGAGGAACACUACCCUCUCCUGGGGUUUCGGGGUAGGGACGAUUUUCCCUUCAGCCGGAAGCCGGUGCGCGAUAUUUGCGGACAGGUAUCCAGUCUCCCGAAGCUUCGUGAUGUACUCCUCCGUAACAGAGGAGGCCAUCCACUUGCCUCCCGCUCCGAACAUGCUUGGAAUGGCUUUAUGGAGAAGGUGAGAACUUGGGUGCUGGAGCUCGAGCGAGGGAUAAUGGAUGAGCAGAGGAACAAGAAGGCAUGGGUGAAAAGGGGGAAUCCUUAUCUCUUUAUAAAGGUGGUAGAAACCAUGCGCCUCCCCACUUGCCCUGUAAACUCGCUUAUUCCCCAAGCGUCGUGUUGAUGGCGCGGUUGGGUUACCCACACCCGUAUUGAUGAGAAUCCCGUGAUAAGGGGACAUGAUCUCUGCUUUGACAAGACGUGCCAAUGAAAUCGCCUCGCAAGAUGUUUAGUAGCAGGUUGAGAAAAACGAUUCGAAUAAUGACCGGGCCGUGGCAUGAUGCCACGCUAUGAAAAGUUGUCGGCAGAUUAGAUUUGUGGAAUAUUGUGCUCUCUACGGUGGUAUGUGGAAUUUUUUUUGCAGAGCCGGACACGAUCCUUGUGUUCAAGAUCUUCUAUGGAGUAUUCGGAGAAGGAACCCGCCUUGCAAUGCCGAAGACAAUCUGCGCGCCGGACUCAUCGUCAUUGAAGCCUGUUUCUGGGGCUACUGAGGGAGUCCUGGAUUAGGGGGUCCUCGGACAGCCGAACUAUGUACUUAUGCCGGACUAUUAGACUAUGAAGAUACGAGAUUGAAGACUUCGUCCCGUGUCCAGGUGGGACUCUCCUUUGCGUGGAAGGCAAGCUUGGCAAUUCGGAUAUAUAGAUUUCCUUCUCUGUAACUGACUCUGUGUAACCCUAGCCCCCUCCCGUGUCUAUAUAAACCGGAGAGUUUAGCCCGUAGGACAAGAACAAUCAUAAUCAUAGGCUAGCUUCUAGGGUUUAGCCUCUACAAUUUCGUGGUAGAUCAAUUCUUGUAAUACUCAUAUCAUCAAGAUCAAUCAAGCAGAAAGUAGGGUAUUACCUCCAUAGAGAGGGCCCGAACCUGGGUAAACAUUGUGUCCCCUGCCUCCUGUUACAUUAGCCUUAGACGCACAUUUCGAGACCCCCUACCCGAGAUCCGCCGGUUUUGACAUCGACAGAGAUUUCAACCCACGAAGGGUAACGGUUGCGCGAGUCCAUGGAGGGAUCCACCCACGAAGGGUCCACGAAAAAGCAACCUUGUCUAUCCAACCAUGGCCAUCGCCCAUGAAGGACUUGCCUCACUAGGGUAGAUCUUCAUGACGUAGGCAAUCUCCUUGCCCUUACAAACUCCUUGGUUCAACUCCACAAUCUUGACGGAGGCUCCCAAGUGACACCUAACCAAUCUAGGAGACACCACUCUCCAAAAGGUAAUAGAUGGUGUGUUGAUGAUGAACUCCUUGCUCUUGUGCUUCAAAUGAUAGUCUCCCCAACACUCAACUCUCUCUCACUGAUUUGGGUAUGGUGGAAAGAUGAUUUGAGUGGAAAGAAACUUGGGGAAGGUUAGAGAUCAAGAUUCUUGUGGUUGGAAUGGAAUGUCUUGGUCUCAACACAUGGGUAGGUGGUUCUCUCUCAGAAAAUGAAUGCUAGAAGUGUAGGCACAUUCUGAUGGCUCUCUCCAUAAAUGAAGAGUGGGUGAGGGAUAUAUAUAGCCUCCACACAAAAUCUAACCGUUACACACAGAUACCCAAACUCGGUGGGACCGAAUGAUGAAACUCGGUCAGACCGAUUCAGGUCAAAUGAACGUUAGGCUUUUCGGUGGGACCGACAUAGUCAUCUCGGUGGGACCGAUAUGCUAGGGUUAGGGCAUAACGUAAUCUCGGUGUGACUGAUUACAUAAACUCGGUGUGACCGAUUUCAGUAAUAGGCACAUAGAGAGUUGGUCAGGCAAACUCGAUGGGACCAAUCCGCUCACUUCGGUGGGAGCGAAGUGUUAUGAAAGGGAAAUAGUGAGCUUGCAUUGUAGACUCGGUGGGACGGAUUCACUCAUUUUGGUUGGACCGAAAUGUUACAAAAAGGAAACAGUGAGUUUGCAAUCCCAUCUUGGUGAGACCGAGAUCCCUAUCGGUGAGACCGAAGUGACUAGGGUUUGUGGCAGUGGCUAUGUCAAAUGAACUCGAUGGCGCCGGAUAGAUCAAAUCGGUGUGGCCGAAUUUGACUUUUCGGAUUAGGACAUAUGUGGAAUUGAGAAAGUGGUUGAGGGUUUUGGAGCAUAUCACUAAGCAUUUUGAGCAAGUAAGCCAUUAAGCAACACCUCAUCCCCUUUUAAUAGUAUUGGCUUUCUUAUUGACUCAAUGUGAUCAUGGAUCACUUAAAUGGAAAAUGUAGAGUCUUAAGCUUGUUGCCAAUAUGUGUCCUUAGCAUUUUGAGGUGUCCACAUCUCUAGUCCAUGCCAUGCCAAUCAAUUAACUUUCUGAAAUGAUCAUCUUGAAAGAGCAUUAGUUCAAUGAACUAUAUGUUGUUAAGAAUUAUCAAAACCACCCAGGGAUUAGUUGCACUUUCAAAGAGUUGAACUCAAAGUUUGUCAACAAAGGAAAGACUACAGAAUUCACCGGACGUUAUGAGAAGAUAAGAGAUCACUGGCCUGCAUUUGUGGCCUACAAGCAAUCGGAGAAGGGUAAGAAAAGGUCACUAACAAAUAAGAAAAAUGAUGCAAAGAAGCUGUAUCACCAUCACACGGGGUCAGGUGGCUACUACAAAGCCCGACCGUUGUGGGACAAAGUUGAGCAAUACCUGCUUGCUAAAGGGGUCCAACCAGCGACAUUGCACUGGCCAGAUCAUUCAAGGACUUGGUUCUUCGGGGUUGAGGGAACUUUGGACCCAGAAACAGGGGAGUGUCGUUGGACGGACGAGUAACUUGCAAUACCCAUCAAGAAGCUUCAGGCAGCAAUCAAGGCAGCGCAGGAAGGGACGUUCAUUCCCGACAGAGAGAAGGAUGAGCUCAUAGAGGCCCUCGGGAAUCCUGAGCACCCUGGACGAACACGAGGCACACCAGGCUCCGUUCCGUGGGUGCAUGAGUUUCCCGAGAGUGGUGGUUACAGAAGUCGAGAGAGAAAGAGGAAAGCGGAAGCAACCAAAAAGGAGAGGCUCAGUGCAAGAUUAGCAAAGCUGGAGGAACUUAAGAGGCAGCGAGCUACCGGCCAACCAUCUCAGCGGCACGAAGAUCCUUGCUUUGAUGCUGCCCUAGAAUCUACCCCACCAUCUCAGCGAAGAAGCAGCGUGGCUUCCAUGGAGCUCGUUCAGCCUGAUUUCACGGCUCCUUGCUACCCCGUGGAUAGUAUCACGGAGGCUGAACAUUGCAAGCUAGUGACGAAAUGCUAGAACCAGACCUUGAAGGCGGCGGUCUUUUCAUUGCCGUCCGAUUCCACAUAGCUAUGCUGUUGUGAUGGUGGAUGAAAUAAUGGAGGGAUGUGAGGGCUGGAGCUUGACUACCCUAUAGGUGAAGAGGAGAUUCAUCUGGAAAAUGCUUUAAGGAGUACUUGUCUAUGGAGAAAGGAGUACAUCAACCUUCCAAACUAGAAGCCUCCUCCUCCUCCUCCUGCUCCAUCGCAUCAGGGCACUCCGCCUCCUCCUCCUCCUCCGGCGAGUGAUCCGGGCACUCCGCCUCCUCCGGCGCGUGAGGGCACUCCGCCUCCUCCUCCGCCUUCUCUGGCACGUCGGAGCACUCUGCCUCCUCCUCCGCCUCAUCCGGCGUGUCAGCGGACUCCGGCGCAUCAGCAACGGCAGAAUAGAGACGUCGCCGCUCCGGCGGCUAGCAGUACAAGAGGCGGGAAGAAAAUCAGAUUUGGUCCAAGCCUGAAGCCUCUUCCAAAGUUACCAUAUGAGAGGACUGACCAUAAAACCAAUGAAAUCGUGUAAGCUGAAGUGCAGGCCCAUUUUGUACGGAAACCUCCACUUCUGAAGGAAAUGGUAGAUCCGGUGAAAGCGAAGCGCACUCUUGAUGCCCUAAAGCGACCACCACCGCCUCCACCGGAUUCCAACUAUGUCCGCUGUAUUAAAAAUACAUAUGAAGAUGCGCAGUGGUCGGGAAGUACUUCCAGUGAUGCAAGAUUAGCACAACAAAGAAGUGAGAAAACAAUUCCCCAUCUUGGCAAACAGGCGAAGCAAUCGUGUCCCCCGCUCAAGGUGUCUAGCGAUAUCGUCGCUAAUCAUCCGGGACUAUUGCCCGGUACCAAUCUUGGUGAUGACCUGAGCAAUGAUGUAGAGUUUGAAACGUUAGAGGCAGUAGAGAUCUUUAGAUACGAAUACGGGAAGCCUCUUGUCAAACCUGAUCAUCCUCUUCUAACAACGAUGAUGCGAAGAUUGCAUGAAUGGUGGAUGGAUACCUGCAGGAAGUCUGGGAAGGAUAGUAUGAUGGUGAGAAAUAAAGAUGAGCACGGCCUCAUUGGAGUUGAGGUAUUGCCUAUUGAAUUUGUGGAGUUAUUUCAGUUAUUCAAUCAAGACGCCCUCGACAAACAACUCAUGACUUGCUACUGUCUGUAAGUAUACUUAUGUAAUUAAGUCUGUAUAGCUCAGCUCUUUCAUUACAUGUAUAUAUAAUUAUCCUCACUAUAUUAUGCAGAUUGAAGAUCAUCGAAUGCAAAAAAGACAAAUCUAUGACAUUGGGUUCAUUAAACCAAAUACCGUAAAUGAAUGGUUGGUUAAAAAGAGAGUCAAAUAUACUGAGGACAACUUGCUACAAUCGUUACUUCGACAUCAAAAAAAAAGGGGAAAUACUUUUUCCUUACAACUUCAAGUGAGUGUUACUAUCUUGUGCAUAUUCGGUUUCGCUUACUCAAGGUUAUAGUAAUGUAAUUGAUGAGUUAUGCGUGCGCAGUUUUCACUUUAUUCUGCUAGAGAUUAAGCUUGACCGAGGAGUAGUAGUUGUCUUAGACUCGAGACGUAAAGAUCCCCAAGAGUAUGCGGACAUGACUGCAAUGCUCCAGAAGUAAGUUCAAUCGAUCAUUAUCGCACCAUAUCGUAACUUUCAUUCAUUUGCUGAUAUUAAGUAAUCAUUUCCUUUGCCUGGCAGGGUUUAGAAACAAUUCACCGGAAUGGUUCCGCGUCUGUAGAAGGAGCUGCGAUUUACACAACCCAAAGUAAGUAUUACAAUACCAUUAUCAUGCUUCAUUAUCAGUUUGAUUGAACUCUAUUCUCGUAAAGUGCUUGUGGCAGGAAGGCAUGAAUAAUUUAUGUGGAUACUACGUUUACGAGUUCAUCCGCCACUCGACCUCUGAGCGAGGCUACUCUGACAAACAAUAUGAAGUACGUAAACAAUAUUCACAAUUUUGUUUUUAUUACCAUCAAUUGUGUUGAGUUUCAUUCAUAUAUAUGUUUUUACCCCCUUCUUUAAAUUAGUUGUGGCAGAUGCGGGAUUAAUUCCUACCACAUGAUCGCAUACGAGCAAUUCAACGGGAAUUGACGGAAUUCUUUCUUGACCACGCCAUACAUAAAGGCGGAGAAUGCCAUGUGGAAGUUGAAAUUGAUUUUAGAUGUUAGGGAUUGUAAGAGAUGUUAUAUUGUAUAUAUGUAGUAGUGUUGGAUAGAUAUAUACGGAAAUUUGUUGCUCGACCAAACUCGGAGAAAGAGAGGUCACUUCUCUCUGUAUAUGUUCAUGACGAUCUUGUGUAAUUAAUGGUUCCUUCAUUUGCUUACUAACUAGCGUGUCGAGUUCUCUCUAUACGUACAGUAGUUAGCGUCGAUCAAGCACGGAGGAAGAGAGGUCACUUCUCUCUAUUAGCUAGCUAACACUAUGAACCCCCCCCCCCCUUCAAAAGAAAAUCCAACGCGUGCGUGCUGCUGACGCGUUGUUGCCUUUUGGUCCCGGUUGGUGUUACCAACCAGGAGUAAAGGUCCUCCUGCCUGGGCGCCCCGCGGCGGCCACGUGGAGCCCCUUCUGUCCCGAUUCGUAAGCAAACCGGGACUAAAAGUUUGGGGCUUUAUUUCCGUUUGAUUUGCCCCGGUUUCAGAACCGGGACUAAAGACCCUCUGGAACCGGGAUUCGUACCCUUUUUUCUACUAGUGAACGGCUCUCGUGGGCGUGUGUCCGCGAUGUCUUGAAAAGUCAGCUGCACUUUUUAGAAUUUGGUCAGAUUUAUUAUCAAAGUUCACCAAAGUAUAAAACACCUCAAACAUAAUAAAAAUUACAUCGAGAUAUUGAGACCAGCGAACAAUCACAAGCGGCUGUUCGAUAAUGUCGCGGCUCUGUGCGGGCUUACCAAGCCCGGUGGCAGCAAGGUCAGGAGAGAGGAGGGGAGAGGCUGUCGGCGGUAUAGGGUUUGGACUUUGGAGCCGCCCGAGUCGCCCAAGGAGGGACGCAGGGGCGAAGAGGGCGCGAGCUACCAAGUCAACCUUAUCGACACAUUCACGAGCUCACUAAAGGGAGCAUGCAAUGCAGCAGCGGCCGGCUCAGAGGCAUGCACGCACCAAUGCGCUACUGAUUUUGUACAGACCAGACCUGAGAUACAACACUAGUGUCGCGCGCGAUCUGGAGCUGCCUACAUGAAAACUGAAAUCCAGCGGGACACGUACAGUUUCUGUACACUAACCAGCAGCGAGGCGUCCUCGAUGCAGGAGCCCUUCAGCUAACCUGCUGGCCGUUGUAGUAAAUUGACACCUCUUGCGACAAGUAUUUAUGCACCAUGUCCCCGGCCUGCAUGGCCGAACGAAGCAAAAAAGAAACAACAACGUACCCGAAGCCGCGUCGAGAUCGGGCAAUAUCAGUACUAACAGCCAUAGAUCAAGGCCGAACCAUGCAGCUGCACUUACAGUCUGUCUGUGUGUUCACAUUUACAAAUUGUACGCUUUAGAGUUGGAUUAUGUAUUCUACUGUUGAUCUCUGUAUUUGGAUGGAUUACAUGCGGGGGUUGCAUUCACGCACGCACCUGUAUGGCUUCAGUCUUUGUGAUUUGUCAUAGCACCCAUGGACUUAGCAUCAUGUCAUGCACACUUGGAGUUCACUGCACUGGAAGCUAGCUAAGCUAGCAGCAGGCCAUGCUAUCUAGGGAACGGAGAUGAGAAAGGUGGUGAACCAAGAGCCAUGGUUAUUCUACUUAACCUGAUGCUGGGACAUUAGAGUAAAGCAGGGACAAGUAAUGCACUUUUUGUCUCUCUUGUUCCAACCCAUCAUUAGGAAGGAACAAACAAACCACAACCAAACAAGCGCAGUGGAGAUAGAUAGAUGCUCAUCCCAAAUGCUGUGCCAAAUCCUCUCGCUUUUCUCCUUCCUGAAAAUAAACGGCAUGGCAUCCUCUCACCUUUUGGCUUUUGCCUCUCUUCUCCCCAGGAAAGCUGGACAAUCAUCAGGACCAGGACCCGAAUUAAAAUGUGGUUGUUCUCUUGCUAUUCACUCCUCACCAUUGACGUCCAUGGCUCUGCGCCCCUGCCUCCAUCUGCAGCACGGCUUUCAAAGCGCACCGCACUCCAAAAAUUAACCUCUGGCAAUUGGGCCCACCGAGCAGGGUGUCCCACUUGUCCGUGAGCGACAGUAUGCAGUCGGGUGGGACCCGCCACACCUCACCACGCGCAUGGUUAUCAAGGCAGAGCCCCAUCCCCAGCGCGUUCUUCACCACCCAACGCCGCGCUGAACUCCUUCUCCGGCAGCGACGCUUUCCUUACUGAUACACCACCGCCUCGCGGCCUCGCCUCGAGAGCCCAAUGGCCGCGCGCAUGACGCGGCGCCCUGUCGUCUUGCUGCUCCUCGCUGCCGCCAUUCUCGCGGUUGCGGUACAGCCGGCGGCAGCGACGCUGCAUCCGGUGGACUACCUGGCGCUGCAGGCCGUCCGGCGCGCGCUCUCCGACCUGCCGGGCUCCGGCUUCUUCGCUUCGUGGGACUUCACCGGAGACCCCUGCGGCUUCGCGGGGGUCUCCUGCUCCGGCGACGGCCGGGUCGUCACGCUGGCCCUCGGGGACCCGCGAGCCGGCGCACCGGGCCUCUCGGGCGCAUUCCCCUCUGCCGCGCUCGCGCGUCUCUCCGCGCUUAGCUCGCUCUCGCUCGUCCCCGGCCGCGUAUCCGGGGGGUUAUCCUCCGCCGUCGCGGCGCUCCCGUCGCUCCGCUUCCUCGCUUUGUCUGGGAACCUCAUCUCCGGCAACCUCCCCGGAGCAUUCUCCCCUGCUCUUCGGACGGUUGAUCUCAGCAAGAACUCCUUCUCCGGCAGGAUACCCUCGUCGCUGCUCCAUAUCAGGAGUCUCCGAACGCUCGUCCUCUCCCACAACUCCCUCUCCGGCGAGAUCCCCAAGACUGUGAGUUCGCCGCUGGUCCACCUCGACCUCAGGAACAAUCGCCUAUCCGGCGGCGUACCGCCGCUCCCGAUGACGGUCGUGUACCUCAGUCUCGCCGGGAACAGGCUCUCCGGCCGCGUGGGCGGCGUCCUUCGCAGACUGACGAGGCUGUCGUUUCUUGACCUCGGCGGGAACUGGUUCUCCGGCGAGGUGCCCGGAGAAGUUUUCUCGUUCCGGAUUGGGUACCUGCAGCUGCGCAAGAAUGCCUUCUCUGGCGAGCUCCGGCCGGCGGGGAGGUUGCCUUCGGGCGCCACGGUGGACCUCAGCCACAACGCGCUAUCCGGGCGGGUGCCGGCGGAGCUGGCGAGCGCGGCCGCAGUGUACCUGAACGGGAACAAGUUUGCUGGCGCGGUGCCGGCGGAGAUUGUGGCGGCGGCGGAGGGCGGGCGCAUGCGGGUGCUCUUCCUUCAAGACAACUUCCUGACCGGCAUCAGCAUGCGCGGCGUGCCGUCGAACGCAGCGGUAUGUGCACACUGGAACUGUGUUGCGCCGCCGCCAACCGUGGUGGCCGCGUGCCCCGCCAAGGGCGGCAGGGGCCGGCGCCGGCCGCCGGCUCAGUGCGGCGGGAGGAGGGGGUAAGGAAGGAAAUGUUUAAGGCUUCUGGGGUGGUUUAGUGGGUAAUGAUGGUGUCAUAGCUCAUGACACAGGUGAAAAAACAAUUUUUGGUGUAUAUUUUGUGAUCUUCCUUUAGAUAUACGGCCGUAGUUUGUCAGUUUUACACAUGUAAGGUGGAUCUGGUGUGUUUCAGACUUUCAGUAGAGAAACUUUGUGCACAGAAAUGUUCGGCCCUGCUAUGUUAUCUCUAGUGAUUUGUUGCUCAAUGGUUCGAAUUGUUACAAAGUGCAUCUCGUAUUGACUAGUAAUUGUACCAGUUGUUCUGCAAUUAUUCUUAGUGAACUACGUACUACUCCUCUGCAAUUUCGAUACGGAGGGGUAUUAUUCUGUACAUUGCAGGACUGUAGAAUAAUUCAGCACAAUUGGACGUAGGGUGCUACGCGGUUUAUGAAUGGAGUAACUGGUUUGCUACAUUUGGUCUCGAAUCCUAGUUGUGCAGGGUGGUUGGUAUUUCCUCCGUUCGAAAAUGUUUGUCAUCAAAAUGGAUAAGAAAGGAUGUAUCUAGGCCGUGUUCGGAAUCCAUCCUCUCUGCUUCCACUCCGCGGAGUUGUGGUGCUCAAUUUAGGCCGCUCCGUAAAAAUGAGCUAGAGGCUCGUGCGCUUCGGAGCGGAGUGGAGGGAGCGGAGAGGAGCCGAACACGGCCCUAAAAUGACAAGUAUUUCCGGGACGGAGAGAGUAGUUUGGAAGUAGAAAAACGAAAAACACACAGAUGUAUUGUUCUUCUCUAAUUUGAUGGCUUGGGUCAGAAACACUACCAAAGCAUAUUCUCAUGUGAACAUUGCCAGGCAAGUUAAACAACAACUCUCAUCCCUUUUUCACUUGUUCUUCCCUCCUUUCUCCUUUGCACAACACUUUGGGAAGUGAAGAAGAACUCACCAGAAUGAUCUACGGUAUCUCCAACAACAAUCUACAAAAAACCUCCCGCAUCCCUGUCCGCGGAUACGGAUGCGGAAGGCAGCCAUCCAACGCUAAUCACAUACAUUUUCACAACAACUCAAAUCAAUCGGACGAAAUUCGUGCAGGAUUUCAUGCAAACUCGACCGGAUUUCAUACAAACAUGACAGAUUUCAUACAAACCAGACACAAACGGUUACAUUGUGGAUAUAUAUUUUGACUAAAAGGUUAAAACUAUGUGCACGUACAGUCGCGCAGAGCUCCACUCCCAUGGUGCAGAUACACUACACUAGUCUAUGGCUGGCCGUCUAGAGCGGUUCGGACUCCCGCAAACCUCUCAUAUUUUUGUCUCCGAUUUGUAAGAGAAAUCGCGUCCGGAUCGCUCCACGGCCGGUCGGCAUUGAACGACUUCCGCUGUCCAGACAGUUACAGGAGGUUUGUAAGUCGGCCUUGGAGAUGCCCUUAACAGUCUCUCAUCUCGGAUUCUACUUGUCGAUCUUGCUUUCUGUCUGUAUGUGUGUGUUUUCAACCUUUGGACAAAGCUCCGAACAAAGUUACAGGAUCUUUUCACUUUCUGCAUCAUGACCUCUACCAAAUCUUUCCUUCGCCCACAGAGCACUAGAUGAGCAGAAUGAUGCUUGUAUAGUUAUGUACGCAAGAAGGCAGCAAUUAUGCAUGUCUUGGCAUGGGUGUUCUGAAUAAUCAUCAAGGUGGAGUACUUACUUUCUGCAGCACUACCAAACCCGUAUCUGUAUGUACCAUCUUCUUCUUCUUCUUCCAUGGACCAAGUCUGUGGAAUUAUCCAUCCUUGUUUUUUUUUUUUUGAACCGGGCUUUACCCCUUUCCAUUGCAAAGAACGGAAAUACAACCAGUUCGAGCGAGAAUGUCAGGAGGAGGGAAAGAAGUAAAGCGAGUUCAAGCACUACCAGGAAAUCCACCAUACUCGCUCGCCAUCGAAACGAGUAUCAUGGGGCAAAAACCUGGUAGCACAACAUAACAUCUAUCCUAUUACAAUCUCAAAAGCUCAAGAUCAAGUAUCAGAACACAGCUGCAAAGUCAAGUACUCAGAUGGUAAUCUUCACCGAGAGAAUCCAGCAUCGAGGUUGCGCGCCCGUCUUCCUUUCAAGCGCCCUGGAUUGGUUGCUUGACAGCGCCACACACCUUCAUCAGCUUCAUCGUGCCAGUCCUGGUCAUCUCGGCUCCGGAACGAAGAUCUUUGGCGUCCUCCCCUUGCUGUAGCCCUGUUCAGUAAAGUAGAAAGGAACACAGAGAAAACACAAUCUCAAAAGGAGUCUUGAUUUGUUUUUUUUCAAAGGUAGCUCGGUUGCGCGCCAACCAAAUCGCCCAACAUACAGCCGCCAGACCUACUGUGUAAAACUUAUGUUUCCCUGUUAAUCUCUGGAAAGUAAUUAGAUGAUGGAUCAAUCAAAUGAUGUUUCCUCUUGCUCAUAACAUGCGCACGCGCUGGGGUUCAGUUGCAGAGAGUGGCAGUCAGCUAGGUGAGUGCUGUGGCAGUGCCAUCUUUAGCCCUGCAUGUCUUGGCGUUGCCGCUACGCACGGCUGGAUUGGAACUCCUCUGCCUGGCAUCUUUAGCCCUGUGGCAGUGCUCCGUCGUGGCAUGCACCGAUUCGUCCUCGCCUGGCAUCUGGAUGCAGUUGACCAGCUACGGGUACGCUAUUUGAUUUGAUGCAGCACGCCGGCCCUCGUCGACGACGAAGGUUCGCCGCGGAUAAGCACGGCGAGGGAGGAAGGAAGGAAGGAAGGAAGGACGGAACCGUCACCUGCAGGCUGCAGCCGAGCCACCGACCCACGAGAGAGACGCCUCGCCAUUGCCGCGUGGAUUUCUUCAUUUAGUCUAAGGAAUCCGUCAACCAGUCUCUGUCUGACUGUCAGGCAAGACGACGCGUCUAAGCAAACCGACCGGACGCCGCAAACGUAUGUGCAUCUCUUUAUAAGUAGACGCUCGAUUGAUGCAGUUUCCACUCCAUCCCGUUCUAUCCGAUCCUAGCUGAUUCGUCCUCCUCAUCCUCUCUAUCCUUCUUGAUUGGUAUCCGUUCAUCCCGUCACAACUCAGAGGAACAGACAGAGUUUUCGCUAACUCGAUCAUGAGCUACCAGCAGGGUACGUACCAAGCUACCAGUAGAAAUCGCCAGCGAGCAUUUUUGGUUCAUGAAUUCUGAGUGGUCUUUUUUGUUUCCUCCGGUUACGCAGGAUACCCGCCGCCGGGCACUGCAGCAGCGUACCCUCCGCCGGGCCACCAGCAGCAGGCCUACGUCGCGCCGCCUCCGGCUAUGUACCAGCAGGAUCAACAGUACCCUCCUGCCGGCGCCGACACCACCAGCCGCGGCGGACACGGCCACGGUGGCGAUGGCUUCUUGAAAGGAUGGUAAUUUCUCUCCCUUGAUCUGAAUUCUCACUCGUCUCCGUAGCCUCAUUUCUAAUGAUCUGAUAAUGAUCGUCUUCCUCUUGUGUUGUUGCAGCUGCGCGGCGCUGUGCUGCUGCUGCCUCCUCGACGCCUGCUUCUGAUCGACUUCGUCCCAUGUUGUUCCACCGGCACGAUCAGGCGUGGCAGAUAGAUUAUAUAGAGUAUCGUCAUACUUAUUUUGCUUCUUUUUUAACGUGGUUGAUGUGUUGAGUACUUGUCCCAGAACAAGUUUUUUUUUCUUUUUUUUUAGAAGCAGAACAAGAUUUCUUGUGUGUGAUAAAAAAAAAUUAACAAGUUCCUGUGUGUGAUAGAUAGACAUGUGAGAUUUAUCCGAUGGCCUUAUGGAAUGUAUAUUUUCUUGGUGUUUUCUUUUAUGAUAACUUGUCGCAUUUAUUUAAUGAAGUUCAGGAUCUCGUCUGAGACCACCUCCAAAAUACAAUGUGGUUGGUGGCACAUUUAACCACCUUGCAAAGUUCAUCACCCACACUAUUUUAGCUAACCUAUGAGUGGCAACAUUUGCUGUCAUUCUUACUCAAGAAACCUUCCAGUCUUCAUAAGCACGCAGCAUACCUUUAAUUUCUUCUAUCACCGGCCUUGCGACAGAGAGAUUUCUCUCUUGAUUAUUGAGCAUACCUACGACAGACUUGCAGUCCAGCUCGACGUGGAUUCUUUUGAAAUCCAUCUCUGUCGCCACCUCGAUAGCUCUCCAACAUGCCAGAAUUUCAGAAGUGUGGUUUUUCACUUUUCAGAGCUCAAGCUCUAGCCCUGUGCGUUCGGUUUAUUCGGUUUACAUGGUUCGGUUUAUAUGGUUUUUCGGUAUGUACGGUAUUAAUACUUCGGUAAAUACGGUAUGAAAUUAAAAUACGGUUCGGUUUCGGUAUAUACCAAAUUAUUUCGGUAUGGUUUCGGUAUAUACCAUAGAAACCAAAGUUGACGCGAAUUUGAAAAUGACGUAAUAAUAAUUUGCAAAUUUAUGACUCAAAACACAUUCUAUUUUACACAAAUAGUAUAUGACUAUAUAUAUAAGUAUAUAUGCAUGCAUUGAUUCAUCUGUUGAUGGUUAUGGACGUGCUUAGCAUUUUAAAAAGAGAAAAAUGACAAUGUUACAAGAAAAAUGUUGGUGCUUAGUAGUGAAUUUGACUCAUGUACAAGAAAAAUGACAACUUGUACGGUUGUUCAUCUCAAAAAAUAUAAAUUUAUCUUUUACUUCGGUUUAUUCGGUUAACCAUUCGGUUUUUCGGUAUAUACCAUAAAAACCAAAGUUCAAAUCGGUAUGAAAAGUUCAUACCAUACCGAAACCAGAAACCAUAAAAACAAAAAAAAUCGGUUCGGUUCGGUUUAUUUUCGGUAUGGUUUUUCGGUUCGGUUUUAAAAUGCACAGAGUGAUCAAGCUCCAUGGUACUCCCAUGAACAGUAAAAUUAAAAAAUAGUACAAAAUCUGAAACUUUGUAAGAGUGAUUGUGACCAAAUGUUGUAAUUUCCUGCAUAUUUUAUUUUCGUGGCCAAAUAACAUUUUAGGAGCCCGUACAGAAAAUAAAAAAACAGUUGGUGCUCAAACUUGUGUGUACUGUUGAGCAGAACCUUUUUUUGAGCUCCUCAGAUGUCAUAUAGGCACCAAAGUUUGCAAGCACUUAAAAUUUUUGGUCGUAAACAAUGUCACAAAAUAUCACAUUUUUUUUAAAAAAAAUAACUAUUUUUAUUUUACUGUUCAUGAGGGCUCGAGCUGUACUAGCACUUUCUGGAAUCUCAGUCUUCGGUAUACGGGAAUUUCAGAGGAACAUUUGGAGGAUUAGUUUCCGUAGGAAUUUUCGCCCAUAUUAUGUUCGGUUUGAAGGAAUCUAGGAUGUGCAUUCCACUGGAAAGUCAUGCUAGCCUGUACUUUUCACAGGAAAUUAAAACUCCAGUAGAACUUCGUGUUCUGGCGGAGGCCCGAGGCUAAGCGCAGAGCUGCAGUCUAGCCGAAUAAACAGUGCAGCUGUACAGAGCUGUGAGAGGCCCCGUCAACCUUGUUGUGAACAAUAAAAAAUGCUAUAAACUAAUUAAUCAACACUCAAUGCCCACCCUCCCAUGGUACUGAACAGUGUCAAAUUGGGCUGGUCUAAGGCUUUUUUCCUGCAAACCGAACAAUCCAAUUUUUUUGCUUCCUACAUUUGAAGGCUCCAUAGGUUUCCUAUUCACACACUACUCUAUUCCUGUGCAGUUAUUUUUUCCAUUGUUUUUUCUACCUCUAUACCGAACGGAGCCUAAAUGGCAAGCGGCAACUUUGAAGGUGCCAUUGUGAUCUCUGAUAACUACACCACCACUACCCUUCACGCCAAAUCUGGACACCGCCGCGUCAGAGUUGACCAUCAUCCAUCCAGGCGUCGGUGUGUUCCAUCUCUCCGUCAUCGGCAUCGUACUUAAAAGCACAUGCCUCACCUAUGCUGACCUCCAUUCUUCUAUGUGUGUGCACACUAAAUUCAUUGUUUCAUAUGGAGGAGCUAUGCGCUUACCAUCCUUUGCAUCAUUCUGGGGCGCCAACCACAGGCCAUAGACUGCCUGCACCAUCGCUUUCUUUUCAUUGGCCGCAGCUUCGCCAAACCAAUCCAGGAGCCAACUCGCAAGAGUGCUCUAGGAGUCACCCUACACCAGUGGGAUCACCACUGACAGUGGCGGAGCUAGCAGAGAACAUCAGGGGNNNNNNNNNNNNNNNNNNNNNNNNNNNNNNNNNNNNNNNNNNNNNNNNNNNNNNNNNNNNNNNNNNNNNNNNNNNNNNNNNNNNNNNNNNNNNNNNNNNNNNNNNNNNNNNNNNNNNNNNNNNNNNNNNNNNNNNNNNNNNNNNNNNNNNNNNNNNNNNNNNNNNNNNNNNNNNNNNNNNNNNNNNNNNNNNNNNNNNNNNNNNNNNNNNNNNNNNNNNNNNNNNNNNNNNNNNNNNNNNNNNNNNNNNNNNNNNNNNNNNNNNNNNNNNNNNNNNNNNNNNNNNNNNNNNNNNNNCAUUGACCACUGAGACUUCCUUUUCUGAACGCAAGAGUUUCCAAAAUAAGGCGGAGUGUCGACACGCCCAAAAGCGAUGAUAGCUUGUCUCCUCUCAUCCACGUGUGACACAAAAGACUCCAGCCUUAGUUUUAUGGCAAUGAAGUUCACACCCGACCGCCAGCUUGUUCCUCAUAAGCCUCCACAUAUGGAUCUUCACUUUACUCGGCGCGCAAGUGUUCCACAAAAGACAACCAACUCUUGUGGUUUCUGACGAAUAAGGAAGACUUCGGUCGUCUAGUCUUCACUAUGUCGAGGACAAAGAGGAGAGGCAACAAAGGGUCCCCUUGCCAGAGUUGUCUUCCGCGUGGAAUGGGGUAUCCGAAAGCCCCAUUGAGGAGAACCCUGGAGGAUGAGGUGCGCCACAGAGAAGCGACCCAAUUCUAGAAACAUGAGGGGAAGCGUUGCUUCUACACGAGGUCUAACAGAUACUGCCACUUGACAGAGUCAAAGGUAUGCUUGAUGUCAAGCUUUAAGAGCAUAGAUGGAGUAUUCGUCCUUUUCAAUCUUCAUGCAUAAUUCCUAACGAAUAUGAAGUUCUCAUGAAUUUUUCUAGUCUUAAUGAAGGCACUUUGGACGCUCGAUAUGAGGGUGUUCAUGAAAGGGAACAUGUUGGCACCAUCAAUAUUUAUUAAAACCACGUAAGUUGGAGAAGGCCCUAUCCAACGACUAGACCAUCAUCCAUGGUCAGGGAAACCUCCUUAACCAUAAGCUCUAACAGGGUGGAGGGGUGGAGAUCGUCAUAAAAAAGUUCAUGCCCUCCGGUCUUAUAAUUCGUUAGCUUGUUUGUUAAUUGUUACUAGACCCCAGCAUAAUCCUUCUACUAUAUAUGGUGCGGCAGUAACGUUGCUUAUGGUGGGCAAUGCCGUGUGAACUGGCAGCUGAGUUUGGUGCCCUCUGGGUCUCGGUGGGUUGGGAAUUCAUGAUCUACAAUGAACGGGUGUGGCUCUUUGCACGCGCUGGCUUUGGCUCAAGAACUCAACCGCUUCCCGUCCUUGGCACCACCUCCCCUUCAACCACGACAACGACGUUCAUGCCAUCUUUCGAGCUUGCACGACAUGGCAUGUGGGAGACGGCCACUCAUGCCUGUUUUGAGAAAAUCACUGGUUACUAGAGCAUUCGAUCGCAAAGAUUGCAUCGGCAGUGUUUGAUAUGGUUCCCAAGAGACAACGAAAGCGACGCACGGCUACUGAGGGCAUCUACAAGCGAUCUUGGGUGCAAGACAUGCAUCUCUCUCUCUCUCUCUCUCUCUCUCUNNNNNNNNNNNNNNNNNNNNNNNNNNNNNNNNNNNNNNNNNNNNNNNNNNNNNNNNNNNNNNNNNNNNNNNNNNNNNNNNNNNNNNNNNNNNNNNNNNNNNNNNNNNNNNNNNNNNNNNNNNNNNNNNNNNNNNNNNNNNNNNNNNNNNNNNNNNNNNNNNNNNNNNNNNNNNNNNNNNNNNNNNNNNNNNNNNNNNNNNNNNNNNNNNNNNNNNNNNNNNNNNNNNNNNNNNNNNNNNNNNNNNNNNNNNNNNNNNNNNNNNNNNNNNNNNNNNNNNNNNNNNNNNNNNNNNNNNNNNNNNNNNNNNNNNNNNNNNNNNNNNNNNNNNNNNNNNNNNNNNNNNNNNNNNNNNNNNUUAUGGAAGAGUGUUCAGUUUCCUUAGUUAUCAAAUGAGCCUGACCAACUCUCAUGGAUGAUGAUCGCCAACGGAUCCUACUCUAUUGCCUCCUGCUACUCGGCGAUGCUUUUCGACUCCACCACGGCAUAUCGAUGGCGGCUCAACUGGCAAUCUUUGGCGCCAUUGAGAACCAAGAUCUUCAUCUGCUCGCUCUCCAACACCGGUGUUGGACCGCCUACAGGCUGCUCUGACGUGGACUAGCGCAUGCGCCAAACUGUGUGCUUUGUGACCAAGUAUCUGAGCCUGACCAACACCUGCUUGUGAAGGCCAAGACCUGGGCUGCCACCCGGGCUAGCAGCUAUUCUGCCCGAGACGAAGCCUAGGGUGAUCCGCCGACAAACAUUGUUGCCCUUCCUCGCGAAACCCACGUCAUGUAUUCGCGUUCGUGGCUUGUCGGUGGGCCUUAUUGUAACUCCUUUUCUCUCCUAUCAAUGAAAUGAUAUGCAAGUCUUUUGCGUAUUUGAGAAGAAAAAAUCUUCCUUCUAGCAUUCAACGAAAGCCGCUUGCUUUUGUUGAAGAAAUGCCGGCGCUCAAGAAAAGUAGUCUAUGAAGUUAAAACGCUGCAAUGACACUUCACAAUCACUCUGUUUCUCAUAACCGUGAACAGAAACAGCAUUUCAUACGUUAGGAUCGCACUAUCCUCCCGUGUAGGAAGCGUAGGAGAGACUUGUCGUCUUGGCAUGCACCGAUGUUUCGUCCCCGUGUGUCAUUUACUCAUUUCCUCUAGCAGUACUUUGAUGCAGUUGACCAAUGCCAACCCAGUCAGCACGCCGGCCCUCGUCGACGACGAAGGUUCGCCGCAGAUAAGCACGGCGAGGAAGGAAGGAAGGGCGGAACCGUCACCUUUAGCCACCCACCGACGAGAGCGACGUUGCAGCCAUUGCCGCGUGGAUUUCUUCCUUUAAUCUAAGGAAACCGUCAACCAGUCUCUUUGUCAAGACGGCGGCGAUCGACGCGUCUAAGCAACCCACCGGAUGCCGCAUGCGCGCGUGCAUCUCCCUAUAAGUAGACGCUCGAUGACGCUGUUUCCACUCCAUCCCGUUCUGUCCAGUCCUAGCUAGUUCCUCCUCCUCCUUCCUCCUCCUCUCCUGAUCUUGAUUGGUAGAAUAUCUGUUAGUUGCGUCAGAACUCAGAGGAACAGAGCAUUGUUUUGCUAGCUCCUCCUGCAACUCGACCAUGAGCUACCAGCAGGGUACGUACCAAUUUCCUUCUGACGGUUCGUAGAAAUCACCAGCGAGCGUGUUUGGUUGUUGAAUUCUGAGUGUAUCGUUCUGUUUUCUUCGGGUUAUGCAGGCUACCCGCCGCCGGGCACCGCAGCAGCGUACCCUCCGCCGGGGCAGCACCAGCAGGCCUACAUCGCGCCGCCGCCGUCCACGUACCCGCAGGACCAACAGUACCCUCCCGCCGGCGCCGACACCACCAGCCGCGGCGGGCACGGACACGGCGGCGACGGCUUCUUGAAAGGAUGGUAAUUUUUCUCUCUCCCUUGUUUCGAAUUCUCACCCGGCUCGGACACUGACACACACGUCUUCGUCGUAUCCGUAGCCACAUUUGUCAUGAACUACUAAUAAUGUUUGUCUGCUUCUUGUGUCGUUGCAGCUGCGCGGCGCUCUGCUGCUGCUGCCUCCUCGACGCCUGCUUCUGAUCGAGCUUGUCCAGUGUUGUCCGACCGUCAUUAACUCAUGAUCAGGCACGGCAUAUAGAUUAUCGUCAUGAUCGAGUUUGAGUACUAGUCCCAGAGCACGAUUUUCGUGUGUUUAAUCGCGUGCGUUGUUUUGUUUCCAUUCGUAUGAUCCAGAUAGAUAGCCAUGUGGUUAUUCAAUAAAAUGCAUAUUCUCUUACCUUGUUGGCAGCGAUGAUCGAAUUAUUCGCGGGUAUUUCACAAUAGUUAAUUGGCAUCCAUCUGAUGUUGCAAUGUUGUUGAUCCAUCUGGCUAAUCCAGCACUCAUACUGGAAGCAUUUUUACAAGAGCUAUGUUGCUUUUCUAAAGAGCAGUAUAGGUUCUCAUGCGACUGUGACUCCCACGAGGCUUGUCCGCGGGUAUCACCAAAUAAAAUGCUUGAUCUACUUUCCUGGAUAUAUACAGGAGCUAGCUAAGCACAUUCAUUUGCUCACAACGCAAAAAAUGCACAACGCUCAGCAAGUUUGAUCUCCGUCGUAAUCACCAAAUAAAAUACACCAUUCCCCUAAACAAAAAUACACAACAACAAUCACAAAGAAAGAUGAUUUUUAUAACCUGAACGAACGGGCAAUGAUGCAGGUCAAAGGCAAGAUAAACAGAGGGGCAAUAAUCCAUACGCUGACGAGUGGACUUUGCACUGUCAGUUCCUAACGCCACACCAGGUUCACAUGGCCAAGAUAGAUAUAGGCGUAAUAAUAAUUGUACAGGUCCAGGCAAGGUUGCCUACAAAUCACAUUCAGUGAACGAAAUCAUGCAGUACAACAUACGUCUUCCUGACUUCAGGUGCAUUAGACCAGUUCUUCAAGGCAAACAGCCCCAAAGUACGGAAGCCGACCGGUGCAUCCAUUUCAUCACCAUCCACCAAGUGCUCUGUGAUAUAACAAUUCACAUGUUAGAUCAUCAAAGACAAACUAACACGUACACACAAAUAGUUCCCAAACUAUCUGCAACCAACGUACUAGUGCCUCACUAUAGUUAUCACAAAUAACCACAAUAGGAAGCGUUAGACAUAUGUUCCCAUGUGACUUUUUGCUAAUUUUAUUUAAUCAAGUAUAGAAACCAAGAGGAAACCCAAAUAUAAUGUCCACUCAUUGCCUACAUGUACUUUCAAAUUUGAUGCUCGUGCUCAUUGCAAACUUAUAUAGUAGGAGUAAUAUAUAACCAAGCACUAUUUUGACUGGGUCGGCUUUCCGUGUUUCUCUUCAAGUCAAGAAGCCAAGUCGAACCUAAUACUCCCUCCGUCCCAUAAUAUAAGGCGUUUUUGCAAGCUAGUAUGUUUUUGCAAGCUAACAUAGCUUGCAAAAACUCUUAUAUUGUGGGACGGACGGAGUAAAAUUCAGUAAGCUUUCUGUGUUUCUCUUGCAUAGUAAUACUUCCAAAUGGUAACCUUCGGUAGUCAAGUAGUGCAUGACUUGACAUUUCACCUGUUCUUUUAGCUUUAACUAGAGAAUUCAGAGAAACCAUAAUAAAAACUUCUCACGUCAAGCUAUGAAACAAAUAAACAAAUGGAAAUUAACACCGGUUAAGGUUGUUGUCACUUGCGUGCUACACUGGCCUAAUCAAAUCAUUCAUUUCCUGCUCUACAGCUCACCCAAAUGUUUUAUCUUGAACUAAGAUACUACUCGGAUAUGAAUUCGGAAGCUUCAGGAAGAAGUAUCACCAAUGCACUGCAGCCGAUAAAAUUGUAAGUGACGAAUACUCAGUACUGUGAAUACUUACCCCAAAAAACAGCAGCAAACAUCCUACUGGUCCAUGCUGCAAUCACCAGCAUCAGGCUCAUCCUCGUCUUCCUCCUUCUUCAGUUGCCCACAGGCAUUGCACUCAAAUACAUGGGACAGCUCACCGUUCGGUAAGGGUGGCAGCGGCGCAAGCAUGCCAUAGCAGUCCUCACGAUCACACAGAUACCUCACAAAGAAGAAGGCAUGCGGGAAAUCGUCGUCAUCGUCGUCACUCCCUUCCUCCUGCUCCAUCCCCUCAUCACCGCCAUCUUCAGCGACCUCCUUGCCAUGCUCCUCUUCCAUGGUGUCAUCCCCAUCAGCACCAUCAUUAUCAUCAUCAAACUUCCACUUGCUCUCAAUCUGACACCGAUCACACUCACACCGGAACCCAUAAUCCUCCAGCAGCCUGCGUUGCCUGUCAGCAUACCUCCAAUUGGCCGCGAAAUAGCUGAUGCAAACCUCCUUCCCCUCUGUUAUACCAUGGAGAGAGCGCACGACGAUGUCCGUGUUCCCUGGCCCCGGCCUGUCGGCAUAAUCGAAGUGGCAAGCAUUGGGCAGGCAGUCGUGGUUGAGCAGUGACGCGCGAGGGUACACCGCGCAGCACCGCGCCUUGCGGACCUCCAGCGGCACGUCGGGGCGGUAUGGCUCCAGGAUCGAGAAGCUGUUGGUCCGGUCCUUGGAGAGGAGAGCCACCGUGAGGUCCAGCGAGAAGCCCGCGGGCAGCGUGUGCGGCGGCGCCACCGACGCCACCGCGGCGUGGAGGCCCGCGGCGUCUUGCUGCUGGGUCGGAGAGGGUGCCGAGGAGAGAGAGAGGAUGGCGCUGAGAGAGGGCUCCUGGAGCGAGUAGGCCGAGAGGAGGAAGAGGAGGGGCUCCUGUUGCGCCUCGGGGGCGGCGGCGAGGCCGCUGGAGAGCGCGGCGCAGAGGAGGCGCGGGUGGGAGGCGGCGGCGCAGGCAGGGGAGCAGAAGGCGGCGGCGCGGCAGGAAGGGCAGGGGGUGUGGGGCGGCGGUGGGAGCGAGCGGAAGCAGGCGGAGCAGUAGGAGGAGAGGGAGGCGAGCGAGGACGGGUAGAGGAGGAUGGGCGACUCCGACAGGAGCACCUCGCCCUCGAGGAUGUCGCGGGCGGCGAGGAGCGCGCGGCCGCGGCCCGGGAGGUCGACUACCCUGAGGGCGUCGCCGGCCAUGUUUGGCAGUGCCAUUCCAGCGGCGGCGGAGGAGGAAGAGCAACAAACUGCUGGCAAGCACUCUCGCAAAGGGAGAGCGGUGCUCUUUUAGGCUGCUCCGUGGGCCGGAGUGGAGUAUUCGGAAGUCCAUUUCGCAGCAUUAGGGUUUCUGGUCCCGUAUUUCCUAUACGACGCUCAUUGCGUCAAGUUGUCAGCAAACGCACAGCCCAUUUAGCAGCGUAGUGUAGGUUUUUCUGAAGGCCGCUGCUACGGAUCAGCCGGAUGAUUUUGUAGAGAGUGCUUGCCCUGGCACGCGAUGCUUCAUCGCAACACCAGCGAGCCCCCUUAGAUUUGCCUUUUGUUGCAAUCCCGCCGGCAUCGCAGCACCGAUGAGCUGACGGCGUCGCGCCCCAUCCAGCAUGCAGCAAGGUGGAUGUUGCAACGCAGCUUGCCGGCACCCUAUCCGCAGCGUCCGUCAAUGCUCUGCAGCACCGGCCGGCAGCACCCCAGCUGCGAGAUGCCAACUGCUGCAGCCCCGCCGACAUCACAGCACCAGAGACCUCGACGACGUCGCGCCCCAUCCGGCAGCUCGCAGAGUCCCUUCAACAUGAAGCGUUGGCAAUCAAUGGUGGCUGGCCCGGCCUGGGAGCACCACCUCGCCAAUGGCAGAGUUGAUUUGGGGAAAAAGAGAGAGGGAGCGAGAGCUAGCAAAGGGGAUCGAGCGUCUGGAGCCGAUGGGAUUGCUUCGCCCGAGAAGAUAAGGAAGCGAGAGGUAAGCGGUGCGGCAGUCCCGCUGGGACACGUGGCGCCUGGCAGAGGCGACUUAAGGAGAUGAAAAAUCAAUCGGUUGAAAACAAGAGUUUUCCUUUUCUAAAACGGUUUUGGGAACAGUUUACGGCAUCUUCAAUGCUCACACACUUGCUUGGGCGCUAGAGGAAAAUAAAAACUGAAAUUUUAGCUUAGUGUUUCUGUUAGCGUCUAUAUCUUCAACGCUAUAAUAGCAUCAGGCGCUGCAGAAACUACAUAAUGUCUCAUUUGUACAACACAAAGGCCAACAAGAAAACGUCUGACCACUCUUUGUCUUUCUAUGUCCCAUCACUUCGUCCUCUCUCUCUCACUCACUCUCUCUCUCUCUCUCUUUGCAGAUCGUGGCUCGUCUCCGGUACCCAGAGCCACCUGACACCGCCCACACAACAUCUCCUCCCCUCCACACCACCAGGCCUGAAUCUCUCCCAGCAGGGUCUGCCUCCCCAUGCAUAAUUUGGUGCCACCGACAAGGGAUUUUCCUUUCCUAGUUGGUCUCUAUGGGGAUCUCGCACCCUCUCUGCCACAAGGUCUAGGAGGACCACGCGGCGGAGCCAACGGUGAACUAAUGUUGUUUCUGUCAAGGGCGCCCCCUCCAGGAGUGAUACGCUCCCCGGCCUCGCCAUAAGUAUGAGAUCGACAUGAUCUUUUCCCUCUCUCUAGUGGGAUUUUUGAAGCUUGUACUUCGCACUGGAUUCAAAAAUUUCUACUCCCUCCGUUCCUAAAUAUUUGUCUUUCUAGACAUUCAAAUGGACUACAAUAUACGGAUGUAUGUAGACAUAUUUUAGAAUGUAGAUUCACUCAUUUUACUUCGUAUGUAGUCACUUGUUGAAAAUCUCUAGAAAGACAAAUAUUUAGAAACGGAGGGAGUAUUUUGCAUCCAUGAUAGUGCCCACCUCCAGUCAAAAUAGCCUCGUGCAAAAAAAAACAGCGUUGGGGCGCCCUCAGCAUUGAUGCAAGCUAGAUUCCUGGCUUCGAACAAGAAUCGGGCAAAACAGCCAGGAAAUCGAUCUUGGCACCCGUGAUUAGCGUUUAUGUUGUAGAUGACCUUCGAAGGUUUCUGAACCCUUGUUUUCAUGUUAGUUCCUUUUAUUCGGUUCCUGGUUCUUGUUUUUUUUUGUAAAUUCAUAAUUUCUCAAAAAAUUAAAAAUCAUCAAAAAUUAUUCAGAUCUUCAACACUAGUUUGUUUUUUUCCAAAAAAAUAGAUUUUUUUUAAAUUUGUGUUUCUUAAUGCUCGUAAUUUAAAAAUGUUCACUUCUUUCCAAAUAUCUUGAUUUUAAAUUGUUUGGAAUUUCUAAUAAACAAGUUCUACAAAAUAUUUGGAAUUUAAUAAAAAAAUACUUUUUCAAGAAAAUAAAAUCUUCAAAAAUUGUUCAGAACUUGAGCAUUUGUUCACUUUUUCAGAAAAUGUUUGAAAAUUUCUAGUUAUAUUCGCGUUUUUAAAUAAUGUUCAAUACUCUAAAUUUAUUCACUUUUUCAGAAAAAACUUCACAAAAUGUUCAGAUUUUAAAACAUGUUGUUUUUUUUCAAAAAAAUGGUAAUUAAAAAAAAUUAAAGAUGUUAUAAAUUUAAAAAUUGUUCCUUUUUCAAAAGAAUAUUUGGAAAUUCCGAAUUUUUUCCAUAAAUUCAAAUUUCUAUUUAGGUUUUAAAAAAUGUUUGAUAUUUCAAAAUUUUCACCUUUUUCAUAAACUCUUCCAAAUUUGAUAACUGUGUUUGUUGUUCUCUCCAGAUGUUUUUAACAGACCCCUGAUAGUGAAUUACUCCCUCGGUCCCAUAAUAUAAGAGUGUUUUUUACAUUAGUGUAGUGUCAAAACCGCUCUUAUAUUAUGGGACGGAGGGAGUAAUAUUCUAAGAAUGGUUCAUCUACUUUCAAAAUUAUGUUGUCGGGCCUCACACCUCAAAUAGAUUCAGUGCGAGUGUUUAUACUUGUCGUCUAUGCAGAUUUCCAUGUAAACUGGUAUGAAAUUAAUAGCUAUGUUCUAUGUAUACAAGUUCGUUGUGACAUUCUCCAGCUGAGCUCCUAAUCUAGAGAGAGAUGGUUGAAAGGAUCGAUAUGGACCUAGAAGGAAUGAAUAUGUACAAUUACAAAUUUUAGUUACUAUUUAGCAAUUUUAAGCACAUGUGAAAUAUGGAUGUAAGCGUAACAAUUGCAAAGAUGGUUUAAGUUCUAGAAAUACAUGAUAGCAACAAUAGUAGAAGUUCAACAACACAAUAUGAAAUAUCAAUUGCAAGGUCAAGUGACCUAAGUAACCGCAUGGAAGGAGCUAGGGCUAGAGAUAAUUGAAACUCUAGAGACGAGGAGUAUCCCCAUGUUCACUUUCUUAGGGUGAAGCUAGUCACCAUUUGGGGGUGGAUGUUACCACGAAGGCACAUCAACAACACAAGAGCUCAUCAUGUUCUCUUGAUAUCACAACGAAUGUGAUUCUCAACCACUAGUGAUAGACCUUCAGGCGGCCUCCAAACCUUUACAAACUUUUCGGGGGUAAAUCACACUUUGAUUCCUCACCAGAGCACCUCUAUCGCCUAAGAGUCUCUAACCUUCAAGAGUAAUAAGAUGCACCGCAAAAACAAAAGAUGAACGAACUUUUGCUUUGGUGAAUGUGUAGAUCGGGCACUUAUCCUUCACUCCCCAAAAGAUCAAGAGUUUUGGGUAGCUAGGGAGGGAUAUCUCCAAGAAAUCGAGUUCAAGAAAUGGAGUCGUCGCCUUCAUAUUGACAAGAAGAAGACUGUUUAUGAUGUGACUCCAUAUCCAACCGUUACCACACGUUUUCUGUGAGCCCGAAAGUCCUCGCCCUCGGAAGCUCCGGGGUAUCUAGAAACAUUGCACAUGAGGUGCAAGUCCACCGAGUCCCCCAGAAGCUGGCCAGACUUUGCCACGAAAGUUCCUGGAUUUCCAUAGAUCACAUAUUUUGCAAUCUCUCUGCCCGCCCCGGAAGCUAGCCGGACCUUGCUCCGGAAGUUUUGGGCUACCCCUAAGGUUCUGAGGUAUCCAGAAACAAUGUAUCCCAUCAGUUUAGGGUCCCUCUCCUCACUAAUAUGAGUAUGGCUUGGGUGCAUAAAUUUAGGUGUAUGUGUAGUUGAUUCCAACGGUAUCUUCAAGGUGCACCCCCUCUUAAUAGCGUGGUUGCCCUAUGGACUGAAGUAUGAAAAAUAAAAAACACCGGCAAAUGCUUCUUUUUUUUUUUUCCUUUUUUCGAAUUGAGGGGUGUUUAACCAUCCAUGCAACAUUCCAUGAUUCGGCAGCACUGUUUAUAGACUCAAGCAAGCAUGUGGACACUGAGUGGAUUGUUUAACCUAAAAGUCUGUGUUUCCUAAAAGAAAGUUAUUGUUGGUCAUUGUUUAAAAACAAGUUAUUGUUGGUCAUUUCGUGAAGUCACAAGAUUGGAAAGAACAACGCGUGACAGGGAACUGCUAAAUUUAUGUAAAUAUAUACGUACAUUCAUUUCUACAACAAGUAAUUCAGGAUCGAGGGUAUAUAAAAUAACCAAAGUGCGGUCUCAGGUUGGGCAAGGGAAGCGACCAGCGAGCACUCAUCUAUCAGCAAAUCAUGGUCGUCGGUUUGUCAAGUUCUACUAUAGCACAACCCUUGCUGCAAGGAAGGUGUUUCUUGGUAGCCUCAUCGAUCCUGCCUCUUGCACUAUCACGCAAAGAAAACUUGAAACUCUCAGCAUUGGACUGUGCACAUUGGACUGUUGCACGCAGCCGUAUGAACUGGUCGUUGCAGCCGCUGCUGCCUUUGUUGACAGGUUAUGCACAUUGCUGCCGGCUAUAAGCCUGACGCCCCCACAAAAGACUACUCCAAAUGGACAGACUUGUUAUGAAAAUAAUAAAUAUAAUAAAGUUGCCAAAGAGAGUUGACGAAAAAGAGAUGAACGGAAUACAGAGCAUCUCCAGGAUAAUGCACUAUUACUAGGACAGCACAGAGGCACCCAUUUUAUACAGAAAUACUGAAUACAGACCAUGAAUAUCCGAUGAUGAACCCCCUAAUAUUACAACGAGGAGCAAACGACAGUAGAAGCCAGUAGUGUACAAUACGUACUUAACCCAGCCAUGAACGACAGUUACAGACAUGAACAACAUACGAUAUAAUCAUAGAUAGACAUAAUACAGUUUAUAUAAAGGCUACAGCUUAUAGCUCGCAGAUAGUGGAAUUUAUUCAACUUAAACGCGUAAAUAGGGCAGGCUGUGCACUUGCUACAGCGCAGCACAUACCUCAGGCAACAGCGACGGCAAAUUAUAUUUGGGCAACUAGGGGUUAUUAUAUCUUGGCCUUUUCUCUUCCCUUGCAACUCACCUUGCUGUCGGCUUGCCGGGUAAUGUGACAAAGAAUUAGCAUCGGAAUUGGCACUGGCAUCAGCAUUGUCAUAGCUGUAAUAUAUUUGUUUCUGCUUGCACAUCCGCUGCUUUGUAAAUUUUCUUGUAUCAAUUCUCUUGUAUGUGUCAUCCAUUACUGCUGAUAAUAAAUUCCAAUGACACUUUCCUAGCUCCCACUACACAUAGUUAUCAAUGAGCUGUCUUAGUCUGUGCUUGUAUUUUCAUUACGAACAGUUCAUCGGUAUACUGGUAAACAGAAAAGCAAACAUGAACAAGUUCCCUCCUCAUUGUUCUUCUGACGUGAACAACUUCUCUACUCUUUAUUAUUCUGGCUCUCCAGUCUCUGCACACAAUCUUGUCUUGUCUUAUUUUCUUGAAGUUAUAUGAAGGAUCUCUGCACUUUGCCAAUUUUCUUAAAUGAACCGUGAAAUGAUCUCCUUCAUCCAGGAGGUGACGUGGUUCCCAGCAUCCAUACUUCUGCGUCAAGUUGAGAGUAAACCAGCUGCUCUUCGCAAGCAGGGACAUAAAUCAGCUGAAAUCUUUAAGAGAGUGCAAAAUACAAUUGAACGCUGAUGAGGCCACCAAUGGUUGAAUGAAUUUGACUCUUGAUCUCCUAUCUCAAAUCCAGUUGAAAUAUUGCCCAUUUAUUGUCUUAGUCAUAUUUUCUUGACAAGAAAAGGUGGAGUAUGAAGGAUAUCUGCACUUCAAGUUUCUUGAAUGAUCCAUGAAAAGAUAUUUAUCCAGGUGGUAAGAGCAAUCCAGACACUCUUUGCAAGCACGGACAUAAAUCAGCUGAAAUCUUUAAGAUAGUACAAAAACAAUCGCACGCUGAUGAGGCCACCAAUGGUUGACUGAUUUCGACUCUUGCUCUCAUAUACCUCAAGUACGGUUGAAAUAUUUUCCGUUCGUUGAUCAAAUUUCCAGUGGCCACAUGUUCAAUCUAAAGUUCCCGUGGAGUUGUCAACUUGUGGUUAGUCACGACAAUUCACUGUUUUCACACAAAUUCAAGGAAACUAUCUGCAGUUUCAACACCACCUCUGUACCAAGGGAUCAUCCACUUUCGCAGACUAUGGCUUUUCUCUGGUUUCUUCUCUAUACUCCCUCAGCAUCUGUUCCCCUACCCUCCUCCUGAUGCAAAUAGAGCCCUUACACAAUUGCAAUCCACUCAACUUACCUUAAGCUGUCGCAGUUUCUUCCUCCUCGUGGCGGACACACGCCCAAUUUGGUGGUCCAAUCAGGAACUAUAAUUAACACAAACUCACUUCUCAACAGGGCACACAAUUAUCAAUGUGAUCAACAAGCAUAUAAUCAAACUGGACAGAUCUCCUCUGCCGGUGGCCAAAUUCCAGAUCUGCUAAUCCGAGCACACCGGCAAGCCAAAGCAGAGCAUGUGACAGCAAGCCGGCAAAAAAAGCGAAGAGGAACAGCCAAGAUACAGGAACGACCUAGUAGUUUGCCCCCAGAUCUAACGCCCCACGCCGCUGUUAGCACCGAAGCACGUACCUCGCGGCGGCAAGCGCCCCGCCGCCGUCUAGUACAGCUACUAGUUGGCGACGUCCCCGCGCUCGGCGGCCGCCGACGCGUCCUGCAGCUGCUGGUACUGCUUGUCGUCGUGGACGAAGAAGACGUAGAAGCCGCCGAAGGUGGUGGCGGCGGCCAUCGCCCAGACGAGGAGCUUGACGGCGAGCGGCAUGACCUCGGCGACUUUGUAGGUGAACAUGACGGUGAGCAGCGUGGUGAGCGCCCAGACGGCGGCCUUGAUCCGCUCCCGGCGAGGGGAGUGGCGGUCGAGGCGCUCGUAGAGGCGCAGGCAGGCGAAGAGGGCCACGAGGUCGAGGUAGGAGAUGGCGACGAAGAUGACGGACCCCGCGUCGCCGUUGGAGCGGUAGACGGCCAUGCCGGAGUUGAAGGUCAGGAAGACGAACCCUAGCGCCGUGAGCCACGAGAACUCUGCCAUCGCUGGUGCUGCCGCGGAUCCGUGCUGGUGCUGCUACCUGCGAUGGAUAGGGGACAAGUCAGGAACCAUGGCGACCGGAAGGGUGGAUCUAAAGGGGGCGGAGACCGGAGAAGCCGCGACCGCCCGCGGAGUCGCCG
rnacentral:lncRNA from 1 species